GCUCAUUGUGGUUGUUCCGGCGUUAGUUAACGAAGUAGACGGAGUGCUCGGAGUUGGACCAGAAGCUCGUGAAGACCUUGAAGACUUUGCAGAGCCAGGCAAGCAACCCUUUGACUAUGCCUAAGAAACCCUUUUUGUAUGGCAUAUAGCACUUACUUUGUUGCAUCGAAUCAUCAUGAAAUGGUGACCACCUUGGUGGGUUGCGUCUGUUACUUUCCUCGUUGAUACUUGCAUUGACAUGACUCUACUUCCUGCUUAGAGUUGUGUGGGUGGGAACUAGAUAGGAUGCUAGUGGAUGCUACGCAAGUGGGACAGGAUUAUGCAUGGUGUUGGAAAGAAAAUGUUGUACGAAGACUUUUGAAAACACCAUCGGGUGCCACUAAUGCCCGAGGGAGAUGAUGUUGAGCUAGGUAACCACUUGAUAAAAAAGUGGUGUACCGAGGCAUGUUGUGUGAAUGUUUUCGAAAACAGAGAGAUUUAAGAUUUGUUGACCGUCCCAACCUUACAUGUACAACCACGAUACCCUUUAUGGGACGAGGCUUUGUUGAUUACUUUGGUAGGUAUUAGCAGAGACCCCACAUUACUAGUGGCGGGAGCGACGUGGUCACUCUCGAUAUGGGGUCGUGCCGGAAAGGACGACCAUGGGCUGUUUUCACAGACAGCGGGCUUACCGUUGGUCCUCUCAUGGGUGGUACUCGAGAUGUACAUCAUGCGGGCCGGGUACCAACGAGUGGACUCUUUGUUAGUAUCGUCAGGGGAAAGGCAUUGUUCGGAUACUUACCUCGGGUAUGAACAAUACCGCGAGUCGUGGCUUGACACGGAAGUUUCUCGAGUCCUGUGGGUAAAGUGUGCUACCUCUGCAGAGUGUAAAACUAUUCAAACAACCGUGUCCACGGUCAUGAACAGUUGGUGGUCCUGCUUAAACUACGUCCGAUGGUUUCACGAACUUGAUGUGUGUGUGGGAAGAAAUGUUGGAGAUAAGUCGAAUGACUUGACAUGAUGUUGAACAUGAGAUGUUCAUCCUCUGCAUAUAUUGAUAUCUGGAACCUGUUCAUAUGUGUAUCUGUAACCUUAUGAUGCAUGUUUUUACGAGUUGCUUGAACAUGUCAUUGCACUUAAAAUUAGCUUUCUGCAGCUUACCUACUUAGUGCUAUAUCAUGCAUUGUUAUACCUUGUUUCAAAACAUGGGUUGCUUGCGAGUACAUUCAAAGUACUCAAUGGCUUGCCACUGGUUAUUUAAUUGGCAAGGCAUGGAAGAGCAGGAAUAUGGUGGGGAAUACCUUGGUGACGAACAUGCCAACUAGGAUGCUUCCCAGCCAGAAUGCCUAUAGGGUUAAGGCAGAUGGCAUUGGUUCACGCUUUCGUUCAAGAUUUCCGCUGCGAGUUUAUGAAGACUUGAGCAUAAAGGUCAUAUUUGAGAAAGCGGUAUGUAACGGAUGUAAGACUCUUGUUAUUCAAUUUCCGUGUGUUCAGUGGGCAUUGAUCUCUGGGAUCACUGUGCACGUGCAUUCAGUGAUCUUGACUUAUGAGCCGGGGUCCCCGUAAUAACAUCAUCAAGCCCGGUCUUGAUGAAUUAUUGGAGGUACAUCGACAUGCCUAUGAAGUGCACAAGAAGUAGUAUUAUAGGCUUAUGAGGCGCUCAAGAAGCAGGGCGAGGAGUAGGAUUUGCAGGAUUUUCUUGCAACUUUUAAGGAGGACUGAAGGCAACAUCAUUUUGGUUGGAGACAUCAAGUUCCCUCCUCUCGACGACAAACAAGAAUCACUGGAGCAAGUGGCUGUGAUUGAAAAUCUUGUUAGUAAGGGUAAAGUGAUGACGUAUAAUUCAUUCAUAGCAAAUACGAAUGCUUAGAAAAUACUCCUGUGUCAUCUAAUGGUAAUGUUGGUUUAUCUCCUAGGAUAGAAAACCCUAGUCCAAUUUUACCUAUUUCAGCGGAACCUCCCAUGCCGUUGAAUUUCUAUCCUAGCCACGCCAAUCAUCUUGUGGUUGCACCUACAUGCCCUAGUCCUGUUAUGAGUGUGCCCAAUUCGGCGUUGACGCUGAAUCACUUUAUCACACCACUCAUAAGCACAAGCAUGUUUAGUCUCCCAUCGAGUUAUUGUUCGGCUCCCACACCAUGAAUUGUAAUCGUAGUUAGUACUCAUGUUGCUCCCAUGCCAUCACUACAAGCAUCUUCAUCUACCUCAGACCCAAAUUUGGACAAAUUAAGGGAGGAUUUGCAUAAGAUGUUUCAAGAAACAUUCAGAAACGAACCGAAAGGAAGGAGCCGUGUGUACCAAAAGCCUUACCGUGAACACUUCGAUGCAGUUUUGUUUGAUGUUAUAAUGUUCUUGAUUUUACUUAAUUUAGUUGUGAGGGUACGAAAGCAACUUAGUAUCGCAUCAGUCAAUAUCUAGCCUAGUUAGGUGAAGCAGGUUCCGUCAAUGAACUGAAAGUGGGUCUAUUUCCCCUAUCUUUAACUGGCACCACUUUUUCAUCGUUUGUUGCUUUACCACAUGGCUCUAUUCUCUUAUGGUGGCAACUAGAGGAGAAAUUUUAUGAUCAUUUUUAUAGCGGCAAUAAUGAGCUUAAUUUGUCACAUCUUAUACCGGUUAGGCAAAAACAUGAUGAAUCAGCCAUCGAUACAGGGGGAUCAACAGGGAUUGAUUACUCGAUGGAUAGCUUGCUAGGCCUGGGUAUGCACCUCCGCGGUCAUAUUUUCCUUAUAUUUAACUGGCAUCAUGUUUUCAUGGUUUGCUACUUUACCACAUGGAUAGGACUGUAGACAACAUAGAGAAGUACAAGAUGACAAAGAAGGCCGCAAAGCGAGCUGUGAGUGAAGCAAGGGGUCGGGCGUAUGAGGACCUCUACCAAUGGUUAGACACGAAGGAAGGCGAAAGGGACAUUUAUAAGAUGGCCAAGAUCCGAGAGAGGAAGACGAGGGAUGUUGACCAAAUCAAGUGCAUUAAGGACGGAGUAGAGCAACUCCUGGUGAAGAACGAGGAGAUUAAGCAUAGAUGGCGGCAGUACUUUGACAAGCUGCUCAAUGGGGAGAGUGAGAGCUCUACCAUUGAUCUGGACGACUCCUUUGAUGAUACUAGCAGGCGUUUUGUGCGGCGAAUCCAGGAGUCGGAGGUCAAGGAGGCUUUAAAGAGGAUGAAAGGAGGCAAGGCGCUGGGCCCUGAUUGUAUCCCCAUUGAGGUGUGGAGAGGCCUCGGGGACAUAGCGAUAGUAUGGCUAACCAAACUUUUCAACCUCAUUUUUCGGGCAAACAUGAUGCCAGAAGAAUGGAGACGAAGUAUAUUAGUGCUAAUCUUCAAGAACAAGGGGGAUGUUCAGAGUUGUACUAAUUACCGUGGAAUUAAAUUGAUGAGCCAUACAAUGAAGCUAUGGGAGAGAGUCAUUGAGCACCGCUUAAGAAGAAUGACAAGCGUGACCAAAAUUCAGUUUGGUUUCAUGCCUAGGAGGUCGACCAUGGAAGCCAUUUUCUUGGUAAGACAACUUAUGGAGAGAGAUAUAGGGAGCAAAAGAAGGACUUGCAUAUGGUGUUCAUUGACUUGGAGAAGGCCUAUGAUAAGAUACUGCGGAAUGUUAUGUGGUGGGCCUUGGAGAAACACAAAGUCCCAGCAAAGUACAUUACCCUCAUCAAGGACAUGUACAAUAAUGUUGUGACAAGUGUUCGAACAAGUGAUGGGGACACUGAUGACUUCCCGAUUAAGAUAGGACUGCAUCAGGGGCCAGCUUUGAGCCUUUAUCCUUUUGCCUUGGUGAUGGAUGAGGUCACAAGGGAUAUACAAGGAGAUAUCCCAUGGUGUAUGCUCUUUGCGGACGAUAUGGUGCUAGUCGAUGAUAGUCGGACGGUGAUCAACAGGAAGUUGGAGUUAUGGAGGCAAACCUUGGAAUCGAAAGGUUUUAGACUUAGUAGGACUAAGACCGAGUACAUUAGGUGUGCUUUUAGUACUACUCAACACGUGGAGGAGGGGGAUGUUAGCCCUGAUGGGCAGGUGGUACCUCAGAAGGACACCUUUCGUUAUUUGGGGUCAGUGUUGCAGAAGGAUGGGGAUAUCGAUGAAGAUGUGAAUCAUCUAAUUAAAGCCGGAUGGAUGAAGUGGCGCCAAGCUUCUGGCAUUCUCUAUGACAAGAGGGUACCACAAAAGCUAAAAGGUAAGUUCUAUAGGACGUCGGUUCGACCCGCAAUGUUGUAUGGCUGUGAGUGUUGGUCGACUAAAAAGCGACAUGUGCAACAACUAGGUGUGGCGGAGAUGCGCAUAUUGAGAUGGAUGUGUGGCCACACAAGGAAGGACCGAAUCCGGAAUGAUGAUAUACGAGAUAGAGUUGGGGUAGCGUCAAUUGAAGAGAAGCUUGUCCAACAUCGUCUGAGAUGGUUUUGGCAUAUUCAGCGCAGGCCUUCAGAAGCCCCAGUGCACAGUGGACGGCUAAAGCAUGCUGAUAAUGUCAAGAGAGGUCGGGGUAGACCGAGCUUGACAUGGGAAGAGUCCAUAAAGAGAGAUCUAAAUGAUUGGAGCAUCACCAAAGAACUAGCCAUGGACGGGGGUGCGUGGAAGCUUGCUAUCCAUGUGCGAGAACCAUGAGUUGGUCGCGAGAUCUUAUGGGUUUCACCUCUAGCCUACCCCAACUUGUUUGGGACUAAAGGCUUUGUUGUUGUGUUGUUGUUGUUGUCGUCGUCGUUGUUGUUGUUGUUGCUACUUUACCACAUGGCUCUAUUCUCUUAUGGUCGCAACUAGAGGAGAAAUUUUAUGAUCACUUUUAUAGCAGCGAUAAUGAGCUUAAUUUGUCACAUCUUACACCGGUUAGGCAAAAACAUGAUGAAUAUACAGGGGAUCAGUAGGGGUCGAUUAAUCGAGAUAUAGCUAACCAGGCCUGGAGUGCACCUCCGCGGCUAGGUUCAUGUGUCUCUAACCGGAUGUGAAUUUACGCUAGAUGGGCUGCAAUACCUCGCUCGUUUAUCGUUGGGCUGGCCGGUGUCGAUGUCCAAAACUUACACGUGUCCAGCCCAAAAAUCUGAACUAUAUAUGGUACCGAUUUUAUUUGAGACCAGAUGACCUAACAUAGGUCUGCCCCUGCAUCCCUUCCCGAUAAACACCAUGGACUUGGAAGGGAAGAAAAUGUUAGUUCGGCCUAACAUACCCGAAUCUACUAAUAAAGAUAAUAUGGUUAUUAGUGAAGCUAGGAAAAGCAAAGAGGGUGACAAGGUCUUGGGAAGAGAGAUUGUGCUUGAAAAGCAACCCGGUGACAAGGCGGUAUUAAAGAUCACCAUCAACAAUCCUACGCUCGGAGGGAAACCACAAGUGCAAGAGAAUACUCACCUUACAUUUAUCAAGCCUAAGAGUAUAGAAGUUGGCAAGUGGAGAACGAAUGAAGCCCAAGUGCUAGCAAAUCAAGGUAACUUUUGAUAUGUUGUUAUCCAAAUAUGCCAAUCAAGCGGCUGGUUCUAGCUCUAAUUGGCCAUCACAUUUUAAGCGUUCAUGAUGACCUCCGAAGCAAAAAUUUCAGCAAUCACUCGAGGCCAUGGGGGUCGUGAGUAUCGGUACCAUGGAUGGCGCCAACCCUCUAUGUGACAUAUUACAUGGGAGGCUUCAAUGGAGGAUGGGGGAAGCUCCCAAUGGGCUCCUUAUGCUUUUUAUCCAGUGUGGGCCGCAGCUAGGAGGCCUGCUCGUGAGAGCCUUUCUUAUCCUACACAAGGCCGUUUAAGCCAUGGUGCAAAUCGGCCAACACAAGUUUCUCCAAGCAAGUGUGAAUAACUGAGGUAAGUUUGCUGAAUAAGAGAGAGCGAAAGACUUUUCGCGUAAGAGCUCUACAAACCUUGUUUGUCCUAUCAUACUUUGUUGAGCACUCACUAUUCAACUGUAACGCCAAAGAUGCGAUCCUAUCCUUAUUUUGGCGUGAGGGCCUCGCCAGGGAUAGAAGCGCAUCUCGUCGUUUUGCAAGAAUGAAUAUCGUUACAAGUACAUGUACUGAAGAGAUGAGUAUAUGGAAUUGGCUUACACUUGCCACAUGUUACAACAAUAUACAAUCAACAUGUAGAAGAGCAGGGUCCGACCACGGACGAAAACAAACAAUAAAAGAAACGACGUCCAUCCUUGCUAUUCCAGGCUGUCGGCCUGGAACCCAUCCUAGAUCAAUGAUGAAGAAGAAGAAGAAACUCCAAAUAGAACAAUCAUCACGCUCGCGUCUUAAUAUCACUUUACCUGUACCUGCAACUGGUGUUGUAGUAAUCUGUGAGCCACAGGGACUCAUCAAUCUCAUUUCCAAAGGUAUCAAGACUAGCAAAGUUUAAUGGGUGAGGUAUGGUUAAGUGGUGAUGCUGCAGUAAGCGACUAAGCAUUUAUUUGAGGUGGCUAACUUACGAGUACAAGAAUAAAAGAGGGGGAUAAUCUACGCAUAACGGACGUGAACUACUGAUGAUCAAAUGAAUGAUCCUCAACACCUACUUAUGUCAGACAUAACCCCACGUGUCCUCAUUCGGAGAAGCUCACGAAAGAGACGGUCACGGUUACGCACACAGUUGGCAAGUUUUUAAUUAAGUUUACUUCAAGUUAUCUAGAACCGGAUAUUAAAGAAAGUUUCCAAGUUUGCCACAUAACCGCGGGCACGGCUUUCCGAAAGAUUUGACCCUGCAGGGGUGCUCCAACUAGUCCAUCACAAAUUACCACAAGCCGCAUAGAAAGCCUCGAUCACGAAACUCGUGAUCUCCUCGGAUUCCUUAGUCGAAAACCUCAACUCUGAGAUAGCCCAAAGCAUCACCGGAAUCCCGAUGCACAAGAUAUUUCGUACAAGGUAAAACGAGUCUAGCAAGGCCGCCCGACGUGCCGACGAUCCCGAUAGGAGUCGCGUAUCUUGUUCUCAGGGCACAAUCGGAUGAGCGCAGCGUACAGUGGCCUGCUAGAGAUCUCCCGAGUUGCCCCGGGUUGGCCCCACACACGACUCUAGUUUGGACCAACACUCAUGAGGAGCACUGGUCCGGGGGUUGAUUAAUUAUCCGCGGGUGCCAACGGGUCCCUAUGCUUUUUAGUAGUUGUUAGGCAAAUGUAGUACCAAAGUUGAGCCUUGCCAGAGCAGUCUUAAACUAAAACGAAUUAUCAAGGGGGUCCCCAUAACAACCCCGAUCGUGUUAGGAGCGCUCAGUUAUAGAAUAUAACACUGGUAGCCGAAACUAACGCGGCAAAGGUGGAACAAAACACCAGGCUAGAAAGUCCGAGCCUUCCACCUUUUACGAAGUAUAUAGGUGCAUUAAUUUAAAUAACAUUAAUAUGGUGAUAUAACAAGGAACCCAUAUUAUCACAUGGAAGCAACUGCACCUGCAAUUAGCAAUGCUAUCCAAUGGUUAAGCAAGCGGUAAUACAACCAAUCAGUGGUUUGCUAGGUUGUAGAAAAUUUGAAGGUUUUCAUGGCAAUGUUGAGAGGCUGACAUUUAACAGGUGGUAGGCAGCGAGACAUAACGAAAGAAACAAGACAACUAGCAUGUCAUUGAUAGUAAUGAUAUCUAGGGAAAUGGUCAUCUUGCCUGAGAUCCCGCUUGGAAGAAGAACGAAUCCGUGAAGCAGGCGAACCGACGUAGUCGAACGGAUCCUCACAUUCCGACACGCUUGCGGAACUCUAUCGAGAAGAAGCAAACCGGAAACAAGAAUCAACACACGCUAUUCACCACACAUAUGCAUGACAUGAUGCACAACCUAAUGUGAUGCAUGUCCAUUUCAAUUAGGCAAGGCAUGGCGUGACAGUUCACAACAGUCAAACACUACACAUUAAGUGAAGCUCAAUAUGCAACGAGUUGCAUAUUGACGAAACUCCACAUACGAAUCAUUUAGUUCGCUCCCGUUUAGGUACACGGCAAUAUUAAAUGUUGUUUAAACAUGGCAAGAGGUGAAGCAUGUGAUUCUACACGUCAUUCUAGUCGGUUACCACAUAUAGCUCAUUUGAUCGGAGCUACGGUUAACAGAUACGUGCAACACAAGAUAUUAUGUCAUGAAUGCAACAUGCAUGCAAUUUUAUGAAAACACCGGCAAGAAGGAUAUGAAGCAUGUUCGGGAACCAUGGCGGCAAAACGGAAACGAUGCCACGGCAACGUUCCAGUCCCGAUAACUCGAUGAGAUACCGGUGCCAACGAAUUAGGAGCGUGUGCGUGUCAUGCCAAGAAUGAUGGGGUGAUCCCGGUUACCGGGUUCCCAUGUGUCGGGGUCACGGCAAAAGAGGGACAACGUGCAACUAGCAUGGCAUCUACGAAAGGGACAACAUCGACUCUCAUACAACAACGCAUUCAUCCACGGGUAUCGUCUUGGCGGUAUACCUUUGAAGCGUGCCUCUCGGAGCGGUUUGAGUCGUAGCGGUGUAGUUGUACAUGGGUCGUCGUGGAAGUAGUGGUUACACAGGUCUUCGGCGACGGUAGUCGUACACGGGUUGGAGAGGAACUUGGCGAAUCCACGAUCUGCGGGGAUCGACGUAGUGGUUCCCGUAGUUGUUCAGGCGUUGCAGCGUCGGCCUUUGACGAUUUCGAAGGGGUACUUGGCGAUCCAAGGAUGCUCACGUUUGGGGAGGUCUCGGUUUCGGCGAUGAUAGCAGAGGCACAUGGUCAUCUUAGCACUUGCGUGAUCCAAAUCUAGCUGACACAAAAUACCAUGAUCUACGCAUCCAAAUGGCCAACCCCAACCAGCAGCAUCACAAGGCAGCAAGGACCACGACACGACGACGACAACAGCAGCACGCAGCAGCCAGCAGGCAAGCGACUGCGAGGCUGGACCCUGGUGGAGGGCGCAACACGGCGCGGCAGGACGGGGCUGUCGGAUCCGGGGGUCGACCCGGAUCUGUGCGGUGACAACGCAUGGUAGGUGCUCCAGGCCGGCCAUGGCUGGGUGGAGCUCGGCUCCAUGGCACGGGGUCGGCGAUGGCUCUAGUGGCUGCCACACGGGGAGAGGCGGAGAUGGCCGGAACGCGGCAGAUUCGACGAGGGGAGGCCGGAUCCCCUCGACCUCGAGGAGGAGGAGGAGGCACGGGCCACCUGCGGACGUCGUGCGCAGGUGGAGCAACGCCCUCGGACGGGUCAUGGCGGAGGGAGGAUGGGGCACAGUUGCCGCUUGAGUGGGCUCGCGGGGCAGGUGACUGGGCGGCGCGGGGUGGCUGACUGGGCGCGGCGGGCUGGCUCUCUGGUGGCUGCGGGCGAGGUCAACGGCGACUGGGGCACGAGCAUAGGAGCUCGGGCUGGCUCGCGGGAUGGGAGGAGGGAGGAGACGUUGUGGGUUGGCUCGAUGGGAAAUAGUAGGUGGGGUGGCGGUGCUGUCGGGAGGGGGUUUGGUUGGCUAGGGUUAGGGUAGGAUUGGACUGCAUUUUGUAUAUAAAUAGCCACUAUUUUCUACAUGGGUCUAAUUGGCCCUCCGAUCUAAAUGGAACGGUCGCGUUAAGAUAGGCUAUGGGGUCCUAUUGAAAAACCGAUGACAAUUUGCGGUAAAACGGGGUUGAUCCGGAUCCAACGGUCACGAUCGCUCGGUUCGGGUCCAGGGGAUGUUUCGGACUAGGUUGUGGGCAGGUCGGUGCACCGUGCAGAGGGGCUAGGCGGAGAUGAGAGGGAAAACAGGCAACCCGGUGACAGACUUUUAUAAACCGAAAACGUCCGACGAAAUGAUCGGCUAUAGUGCCGCUAUGGGUUUAACGGUUGGGGUAUCAAACGAACUCCGAUUGCGAUGGAAUUUGACACCCGGCCUUCCUACACUAUAUUAAGACCGUACGCCAACUUUUAACCCAAUCCGAGAAUAUUUAUACACACUCUUUUUGCGCGUGCGUGUGUGGUUGGUCUCGAAACGGCCAACGACGAAAACGGAGAGAACCGGCAACUACCAACAGAUGCAAGUUUUGAAAAGUGACGACAACGGAGUGCCGAUGCAAUGCGGAUGAUGCGAAUGAUGAGUGCGACAAACAAUCUAAUCACACGGCGGCAACGGAAUAAAAGGGGAAUCUUCUGGAGCGUCGUUCUCAGGCUGUUACAACUCUCCUACACUAACAAGAGAUCUCGCCCUGAGAUCUAAGAAUGAAAGGGGAAGAGGAUGAGAAAGCAAGAGGUAAAGAAACUUAGUCGCUUCUUUGACAAACGAGUGAAGUCAACGAUCCUUGAAGGUUGCAAAGAGAUGAAGAAUGAUACGAAGAACAAGCAAGAAUUCAAACAAAACUUCGGCAGCACUUGUAGGAAAUUGAGGCAAAAUUUGUUAAGAUGGAAAGAUCUUGAGAAGAUUCACAACAAACUAACUGAAUUGAAUAAGCAAGGAGAGAACAUGAUCCUGAUAGAACAAGAUGAUAGAUUGAAGAGAGCAACAUCACAACAACUUCGGAACAAGAGAAUAGAAACUAGAUCAUUGGGAAGAAGGAAUGGAGAAGAAGAUGAAAACUUCUACCACAAUUGAAUUUGGCAAGCAUCCUUGCAAGAAGAAUUGAACGGAGUUGUUGGAAAACCAACAAUGAAAAGAACAAGCUUGUAGUGGACUUAUGAAAACCAUCUCAACAAUGAGGUGACAACCAGCCACAAUUGGAAAACAAUUGAUUCAUUGGAAGCAAAAAGAUAUGAAAACUUCUUACACCAAGAGGAAACAUUGAAAAACUUGGAUUAAUGGCAACACCAUAAUAGCAACAAUCCUUAGACAAGGCUUUAGGUGAAAUCCAACCCAAGACAACUUCGAUGAAGAAACCAUGGGUUGAAAUUAUCCAUGACAAGGAAUUGGUGGGUUUAAUUAUCCCAUUCUUGAAACAAUUCUCUUCGAGACUCCUCCACUAACAAGAAUGUUAUAACACCACCUCAAAGGAAAAUGGAGGAAGAAUUGCACUUUGAAAUGCAAGAGAAGGAACACUUGAGGUUCUCCAACAAGAAUCUUGAAGAAAAGAUUGAGAAUGAAUUGAAACCUUGAUGAACCACCAUGAAGGACCUCCGAAAUAGAAGGAUGAUAGAAAAGAAUUGAAGCUUGAAAAAAAAGAUUGAGGCCUUGCAAUGAUUUAGAUGAAGCUUCACUAAGAGAUACUUGAGAAAACUUGGAACUUCGGAAGGAAAAGAUGAAGCACUUGGGAUGCAGAAUUGGUAUCAUGAACCACUCUGGAGAAGAAUUGAAAUCACCUUGAUGAACAAGAAUAAGAAUUAUGUUAUGCUCAUCCUUCAUCAAGUUAAAUUGAUGACAAGCAACAUAUAUAGCAUACCACUUAUUCUUCUUGAAAAAGAUUGGGGAGAGAGAGAUGGAGCGCAAACUGAAGAAGUCUUGAAAGAAACACCGGUAAGAAUUUGGAAUGAAAGAGGAUAACACAAAUGAACUGGGCUACAUGAGGACAAAAGAGGAUGAUUCGAUUAGAGAAAGAUUUAACAGGCCACCGGUAAGAAUUUGCAAAUGAAUAAGGAUACCAAGAUUGAAUGGAGAUACAUGAGAAUGAAGACAUCUUGAUCCACCUGAGAGAAAACUUGAACAAGGGACCGGAAUAAUUGAGAGACGAACGAAGAGAUAACAAAUGAGAAGAAUUUGAGAAUGAAAGCUGAAAGCUGAGAAUGAAGAAAUCUUCUGAAAUAAUGGCCUUCGGAGGAUCAAGAAGUGAAAACAAUUCUAAAAUGCACCGGUUAGAUAUGGAAGGAAUUACUCAUGAUCAAAACAAUUGAGACACAAACUGAGAUGACAAUUGAUCAAAAGAAUGGAGAAAGAUUUAAGAGAAACUCUCCUUUGAUCUUCCAAGCUGAGAAUGAUGGCAAGAAGCACCAUCAAGAAUUACUGAGACACUCCGGAAUAAAUGAACAAGGAAAAGUUGAGCCAAUGACAAGAAAGAAAUUUGAAGCAAUCUUGAAGAAGGAAUAUGACUGAUGGAAUCAUUCUUACAUGACACUUGAAAAGAUUUAGAGAUCUUCGUGAAAAGAUUAGAAGAGCCAGGAAAGAUCCUGGGAAAGAACCUGUGGGUUAUGGGCCCACUCAAAUAAACCACCGUUGAAACAAUUGCGAAGAAAGAGAGAUUGCACCGGUAUAAUAAAAACUUGAUGAGGUGAGAACCUCGAAAAAAAUUGAACGGACUGAAAACAAGAAACUUCUGAGAUAUCUUCAACGCUCCGGGUAGAACAGAGAUGGAUGAAUAACAAGAGAGGCUUGAAUUGAAUUCACCGGAAAAGAGAACAAGAAUGAAAAAUGAUGAACUUAGAACUCCUGAGAAUCUUCACAAUGAAUCACCGGAUACGAUACAGAAGAAAGAAAGCGGAAGCAUCAACGAAAAGAAAGGCACUUGGAUGACAAUUGAAUCACUGAAGAAAAAGGGAGGGAGGGCGGGAAAAACUGGAUGCAUAUUAUAUUAUAUCGUUCCAAAUAAAAUAAAAUAAUAAGAAUAAAGAAUGUGUGCUAAAUCGCUAGAUGCUGAAUUUUCAGAAUCUGACAAGCAGAAGGAGAUCAAAGAGUCAAUUCCUUUGGUAAUCCGCUAAUCCUAACGGUAAUAUAGUUGUUAAACAGGGUCCCAUGGUUAUUGAUCAUGAGGCUAGCGUUAAGCUUCAUGCACUAACAACCAAAAGUCCGAACUGAUGGAAAGGGCUAGGCAAUCUACCCCCUCUCACGUGUGACACGGAAAGUCAACACGUGAAUAGAGUCAGAGGUAUGGCUCAAGAGCCCUAUACGUGGACAAAGGGAGGCAACAACAAUUUUUGGAUAAAUUGCAAAAGCCAGUACUUGAACUCAAGACCUUAGACUCUGAUACUAUGUUAAGCUUCAUGCACUAGCCAAUGCAACCAAAAGUCCGAACUAAUGGAAAGGGCUAGGCAAUCCACAUAUACACUUCAAAAGCUAGCACAAGCAAAGGCCAAACCUAGGGAUCCCAAAUAUACCCAACCUCAGUGAUAUCCUCCCGGAUUAAUUAAGGCCAUGAAAAGGAGAUUGUAGUGAAAGAGAAACCACAAGAAGUGGGAGCAUGAAGCGGAGAAGCUAAGGAAUGGAUAAUUUAAUAAAAUUUGGCCCAUGGCAUUCGAAAAACAAGUGUUGAGACCAAAACAAAUAGAGAACGCUGUUAGAGUUAUAAUAUAAGUCAUGUACCCUUUUGUAUUUAUCCCAAUAUAUAAGGGGUUUCCUGCAUAUAGUCCUCACCUGUACAUGUAUAUAUACCGGCCUAUGGCCUCAUGGGAAUACAAGUUGCUUAUUCCUAACAUGGUAUUAGAGCCCUAGGUUCUUUUUCCGCACGCGCAACUCGUGCUUCUACCCAAUCCCGUCGGAUCUUCCAGCCCUCCCCGUCGUGCUCCCUCACCCCGGCCGCGUCGGCUCCUCCCUGCCCUGCCGUCUCGCUCUGCCUCGUCUCCCGUCGCUGGUCUGCCUCGGAUCCAGCUGCCCUCCCGUCGCCGGUCCAGGACCCGCCGCUGCAGCUCGCGCCGGUCUCUACCUUGGAUCCAGUCGAGGCGGCCCAAUCGAGGCGGCUCGCAUCUGGCAGCUCAACUCCAGAUCACGUCGUGGCUCAACUCCAAUCGCGUCGUGGUCUUCUGGAUCCAUCAUCCAGAUCGCAUCGUGGUCUUCUGGAUCCCAUCAGUACGUGGACGCGGCUCCCACCAGAAGACCAGAUCAAGGCGGCUCCCUCCCAUCAGACAAUUCCUUGCCAGAUCUGACGCUCCAAUCCUGCUGUCAGACGCGAACGCGUUUCGUUGACCGAGUUCCAAAAAAAAAUGUCUGCUGCAUCAGGCUACGUUGCUGUUCCUCGUUGUCCGGUGAUCUUUGAUGGCACUAACUACACCGAGUUCAUUGGCUUCAUGCGCAUUCACAUGUGUGGCAUCCGCCUCUGGGGUUUUCUUUCUGGCGAGGUCUGUUGUCCGCCAUGUCCGGUUCCUCCCGUGGCUCCCACUCCGUCGACCCCACCGGCUCUUCCUGCGGAUGCUCCUCAGACCGCAAAGGAUGCGGCUAAGCUUGCUGAUGAGGCCGUUGUGAGUGCUUAUAAUGAGAAGGUCUUGGCUUAUGAGGAGGCUCUUCAGGUGUAUCGUGGUGCUCUGACUGUUUAUACCCAGUGGCUUGAUGAUGAUGCUCGUGCUACAACUGUUCUCACUGCUAGUGUUCUGCCUCAGUUUGCUUCAGAGUUUCUGGGCCUUCCUAUUGUAUCUGAGAUGUGGACCCGCCUUCGUCAGCGCUAUCAGCCCUCUGGUGAUGCCUUAUACCUCUCUGUGAUUCGUCAGGAGCAUGCUCUUCAGCAGGGUGACUCUACUGUUGAUGACUUCUAUGCACAGAGUUCUGCUAUCUGGCGCCAGCUCGAUUCUCUCCGCACUGCUGGUUGUCGUACUUGCCCCUGUUGCCAGGCUGUCCAGGCCAACUUGGAGUUUCAUCGCGUCUACGAGUUCCUGUCUCGGCUCUGUAAGGAGUUUGAGCCCCGGCCUGCUCAGUUGUUUGCCCGUGGCCGUAUUUCUCUCAUGGAGGCGCUUUCUGAGAUUCGUGCUGAGGAAACUCGCUUACGUGGUGUUGGUUUGCUGGAGGUUCCCUCGGUGCUCGGUGCUCGGACUCUUUCUACGCCACCUGCUGCACCGACCCCUUCUCGCUUGAGUGCUCCGCCGCUCUUGCCCACUCCUUCUGGAGGCUCAGGUCGCCCCCGUUCACAUUGUGGCUACUGCAACAAUGAUGGUCAUAUUGAGUCCCACUGCUACACGAAGAAGAAACACUUGCGCAAGGCGCGAUCAUCAUCUACAGCGACUUCGUCAUCUACCUCGACAGCUUCAGCCAUCGCUUUGACUGAGCAGGAUAUUCUGAGACUUAAGCGUCUGCUUGCUGCUUCAGGUUCUUCCUCGACGGUACUGCUGGUUCUGUGACUGAGGCUUCCCGCACUGAGCAACCACCUUCUACACAGUCAGGUACUUCCCCAUGGGUUCUGGACUCUGGAGCUUCCUUUCAUAUGACUACUAAUUCUUCCACUCCGUCCUCUCUUCGAUCGCUUGAUUCUCCUGUUCAUGUCCUCACCGCUGAUGGUACUCCCCUUCCUGUCGUUAGUAGAGGCACUCUUACCACUCAUUCUGUUCCUGAUGUUUCUCAUGUUCCUCGACUUACCAUGAAUCUGUUUUCCGCUAGUCAACUUGCUGAUUCUGGUUGUCGUGUCAUCCUUGACCUUGACUCUUGUUCUGUCCAGGACCGUCGCACGCACACUCUGGUUGGGGCUGGUCCUCGCCGCCGUGAUUCUGAGGGUCUUUGGGAGUUGGACUGGCUUUAUGUUCCUUCUGCUGCCCACUCUAUCGCCAGUUCUUCCGCUUUGGUUGCCUCGGCUACUGGUUCCUUCCAGCAGUGGCAUCAUCGACUUGGUCAUCUGUGUGGUUCUCAUUUGUCGUCGUUACUUCGUCGAGGUCUUAUGGGGUGUGUCUUAGGAGAUGCCUCUUUAGAGUGUCAGGGUUGUCGUCUUGGCAAGAAGAUUCAGUUACCAUAUCCACAUAGUGAGUCAGUGUCUAAGCGUCCUUUUGAUUUAGUUCAUUCCGAUGUAUGGGGUCUGGCUCUCUUCGCUUCGAAAGGGGUCAUAAAUACUAUAUUAUUUUCAUAGAUGACUUCUCUCGUUACACAUGGCUUUAUUACAUGACUUCUCGUAGUGAGGUGUUGUCCAUUUAUAAGCGUUUUGCUGCCAUGGUUGAUACUCAGUUCUCUUCUCCCAUUCGUGUGUUCCGUGUUGACUCCGCUGGCGACUAUAUCUCUAAGAUGUUGCGUGGUGUUCUUGCUGAGCAAGGGACUCUCUCUCAAUUCUCUUGUCCUGGUGCUCACGCUCAGAAUGGCGUGGCUGAGCGCAAGCAUCGUCAUCUUCUUGAGACGGCUCGUGCAUUGAUGAUUGCUGCCUCUCUCCCGCCUCAUUUUUGGGUUGAGGCCGUCUCCACCUCCACCUAUCUCAUCAAUCUCCAGCCUUUCGCUGCUCUACAGGGUGGUGUUCUUUUCGAGCGUCUUUUUCAUCGUUCUCCCGAUUAUUCGAUGCUUCGCUUGUUUGGUUGUGUUUGCUAUGUUCUUCUUGCCCCCCGCGAACGCACCAAACUGACCGCUCAGUCUGUUGAGUAUGUAUUCUUAGGCUAUAGUGAUGAGCAUAAGGGCUAUCGUUGUUGGGAUCCUAUCGGUCGUUGGAUGCGUAUCUCUCGGGAUGUGACUUUCGAUGAGUCUCGUCCCUUCUACCCAUGCCCAUCUUCCUCGACCUUUUCAGUGGAGGAUAUCUCUUUCCUCACUUUUCCUGACACACCUAUCACACCCGUCGAGCCUUUGCCUAUUCGUUCCGCUCCCUCUGCUUCUCCACCUCCAGUCGAUUUGUCGCCACCAUCUUCCACGGUCUCCUCGUCUAGCAUGUCACUGGAUUCUGCACCUUCAUCUCCGGUGACUUCUUCGUCGCCACUCCCCGAUUCUACCUUGGCGAUUCCUUCUUCCAUUGUUCCAUCUUUUCCUCAGUGUUACACUCGUCGUUCAUGUUCUGUGGAUGCCUCUGUGGAUGUGUCGUCAUCCUCGUCUCAGCCUACUUAUGGCUUGCGUUCUCGUCCUCGUCCGCCUGUUGAUCGCUUUGGAUUUUCCACUGUUGGUGCUGCAGUUCUUGAUCCGACUACUUAUCAUCAGGCUGUUGUUCAUCCUGAAUGGCAGUUUGCGAUGGCAGAGGAGAUUGCUGCUCUUGAAUGCACUAGUACGUGGGAUCUUGUUUCCCUUCCUCCCGGAGUCCGUCCCAUCACUUGUAAGUGGGUCUACAAGGUUAAGACUCGCUCCGAAGGUUCUCUUGAGCGUCACAAAGCUCGUCUUGUGGCUCGUGGUUUUCAGCAGGAGCAUGGUCGUGAUUAUGAUGAGACUUUUGCUCCUGUGGCUCAUAUGACCACUGUUCGUACACUUCUUGUCGUGGCAUGUACACGCCGCAGGUCUAUCUCUCAGCUUGAUGUUAAGAAUGCUUUUCUUAAUGGUGAGCUGCGGGCGUAGAAGUAGCCCGAGCAGCGAGCACCGAGGGAACCUCCAGCAAACCAGCACCACGUAAGCGAGUCUCCUCAGCACGAAUCUCAGAAAGCGCCACCAUGAGAGAAAUACGGCCACGAGCAAACAACUGAGCACGCCGGGGCUCAAACUCCUUACGGAGCCGAGACAGGAAUUCGUAGACGCGAUGAAACUCCAAAUCGGCCUGGACAGCCUGGCAGCAGGGGCAAGUACGACAACCAAUACUGCGGAGAGAAUCAAGCUGGCGUCAGAUAGCAGAACUCUGUGCAUAGAAGUCAUCAACAGUAGAGUCACCCUGCUGAAGAGCAUGCUCCCGACGGACCACGGAGAGGUAUAAGGCAUCACCAGAGGGCUCAUAGCGCUGACGAAGGCGAGUCCACAUCUCAAAGACAGUAGGAAGGCCCAAAAACUCAGAGGCAAACUGAGGCUAAACGCUAGCAGUGAGAACAAUGGCAGCACGAGCAUCAUCAUCAAGCCACUGGGUGUAAACAGACAGAGCACCGUGAUACACUUGAAGAGCCUCCUCAUAAGUCAAAACCUUCUCAUCAUAAGCACGAAUAGCAGCCUCAUCAGCAACCUUAGCCGCAUCCUUCGUAGCCUGAGGAGCAUCUGCGGGAAGAACCGGUGGAGUCGGAGGAGUGGGAGCCACAAGAGGAACCGGACGUGGCGGACAACAGACCUCGCCAGAGAGAACACCCGAGAGAUGGAUGCCACGCAUAUGAAUGCGCAUGAAGCCAAUGAACUCGGUGUAGUUAGUACCACCGAAGAUCACCGACGCAGUGGACAUUUUUUUAUUGUUUUUUUAGAACUCACGGCAGCUGCAGAUCAGAGGGGGCCGGCGGGAGCCGAGCUUGAGCGGGAGCAAACCGACGACGAGGCAGCGGCUUGCGUCCCGAUCGAAGUCGUAGCAGCGGGAAGAGCGGCAGACUGGGCGGGCAAGAGGAGUAUUCGAUCCUAUAGGACCUGUCUGGAUCCCGCUGGAACGGGCGAUCCCGAAUCACGGCAGCAGGAGGAGGCGCUGGACUGGAUCCCGCUUGGAUCCCGUCUGCCAGAGGAUGCGCUUGGAUCCCGUCUGUGAUCCCGUCUGCCAGAGGAGGCGCUGGAACGUGCGAUCUCGUCUGCACGGCAGCAGGAGGAGCGGGCGCUGGAACGGGCGAUCCCGUCUGCCAGAGGCGAGAAAAAAGCCGGCUCGUCUGGAUCGAUCCGAGAUGGAGCGGGAGUAGAAGCUGGGAUCGAUCCCGUCCUGGAUCGUGGGAGAAACGACGAGGCAAGUGUUUGAACGGGAUCUGGCGACGAGGAUGACGAGGAGGAGCAGAUCAACAGCACGAGUUGCAGCGUGCAAAAGUUAACCUAGCUCUAAUACCAUGUUAGGAAUAAGCAACUUGUAUUCCCAUGAGGCCAUAGGCCGGUAUAUAUACAUGUACAGGUGGUGGACUAUAUGCAGGAAACCCCUUAUAUAUUGGGAUAAAUACAAAAGGGUACAUGACUUAUAUUAUAACUCUAACAGUCCGGAUAUCUCUUAUCCGGUUCGUAUUCUGAGUCAGUUCGUCUCUGCUCCCACAUCGGUUCAAUAUAGUCAUCUCCUCCGUGUUCUCCGAUAUCUUUGGGGCACGAUCUCUCACCGUCUAUUCUUUCCUCGCUCCAGUUCUUUACAGCUUCAGGCCUAUUCGGAUGCUACGUGGGUUAGUGAUCCUUCAGAUCGCCGUUCACUUUCUGCUUACUGUGUUUUUCUUGGUGGUUCUCUCAUUGCCUGGAAGACGAAGAAAAAGAUUGCAGUUUCCCGUUCGAGUGCAGAGGGUGAGUUGCGAGCGAUGGCUCUUUUGACCGCAGAGGUGACUUGGUUACGGUGGUUACUUUAGGAUUUUGGUGUUUCUGUCACUACACCGACUCUGCUCUUACCUGACAGUACAGGUGCUAUUAGCAUUGCGCGCGACCCUGUGAAGCAUGAGCUCACCAAGCAUAGUGGCGUUGAUGCUUUCUAUGUGUGCGCUGCUGUGCAGGAUCAGGUUAUUGCUCUUCAGUAUGUGCCUUCCGAGUUACAGUUGGCGGAUUUCCUGACGAAGGCCCAGACUAGAGCACAACAUGGCUUUUAUCUCUCCAAACUCAGUUUUGUUCAUCCACCAUGAGUUUGAGGGGGGGGGGGUAUUAGAGUUAUAAUAUAAGUCAUGUACCCUUUUGUAUUUAUCCCAAUAUAUAAGGGGUUUCCUGCAUAUAGUCCACCACCUGUACAUGUAUAUAUACCGGCCUAUGGCCUCAUGGGAUUACAAGUUGCUUAUGCCUAACGAACGCAACAACUUCCAUAUUAAUUGCAGUAGCACAUACACCAUCAAAGGAGGAGGAGGCGACCCCCUCCCCUUCACCCGAAGAGACUUCAAAGCCAAUAUACACACCGGGAGAUAGUGGAUUAUGAAUCUACACCGAUUCGGGUGGAUGUCGAUACUAAGAUGGUGUAUUACUUGCCCUCCAAAUUUCAUGCUAUUGAUGAGAAGAUGAGGUGGCCCAACUGAAUUUUGGUUCUAAGAAUGCCAUCUUUGAGAAGCCAAAAGAACCGGUUAAACAUGUUGUGGUAUUUCUAUGGCAUAUGCCAGGGGGUGGCAGUUGUGGUUUGGGGCCGACGGGCGCCGGCGGCGCUCGGAGAUGGGUGAGGGUGCGAAGCACAUGGCGCAGACAUACCCAGGUUCAGGGCCCUCCGAUGGAGGUAAAACCCCUAGUCGUGCCGGAGUGACUAUAGGCGAUCACAAUACAGAAUGCUCCUUGAGCUGUUUGUAAGGAGGAAGAAGGAGCUCUUGCUACCUGCCUCGCUACGUCGUAUGUGUGUGUGUAUGAGUGGGAAAAGGGCCGACCCCCUCUUAGGGGGCCUGUGGGGUGGCUUUGUAGUAUAGCCGCCUCUCAGGCCGGUCGUGGGGCCCGCCGGCUAUUGGGUCUUGUCGGGCGUGGGGGUCGUCGAUUGCCGGUCAUUGUGGCAAGUACUCAUCGUCCUCGUGGAGUAGGUAGUGCAUGCCUGCUAUAGGGCUGGACCGCCGGUCUAGGUCAGCGGUACCCGUGGUCCUGUAGCCGCAUCUUGCCCCGUCAGGGGUCGUGUAGCCCCGCCCGGCCCCGUCAAGGGGUCUUGUAUCCACGCUUUGCCUUGUCGGGGGAGGUCCUGUCAUGUUGUCUUACGCCGGUACGGGCGGAUGGGACGGGCGCUGACCUGCCGGCUGCUACCGUAGCCGGUUGGUCGAGCCGGUCGUCGCCUAGCUGACAUCAGGUUGAGGGGCCGGCCCGCGGGAGCAGCCGGCCGGAUGGGCAGGCGGCCAAGGGGGGCCAGCAGGCCCCAAAUGUUUUAGAGCAUUGACUCCUUUGCUUUGGUAUACCUAGGUGUCAAAUCCCCAUCAGUAGGCCCCGAAGCCGUUGGGGUCCAGAGGUUUUCGAUGAAGGGGGCUAGCGGCUUCCCCCCUCCCGAAAUCAUAGAUGCCUUGAAGUUUUGAUGACGUGGGACCGGCCGGCUCCGGCUGGAGGUAGGCCGGCCCCGCGCGGCCGGCACGAUCGGGCGCGUCCCAAUCGGCCGGCUACGCCCGACGCCUCGGGUCUCAUGACGCCGCUUCGGGUUCGCCACCGGCGCGCGCGCCACGUGUGGCCUGUAGAGAAGGCGGCCCCUGCCACCACGCGCGCGACGAGACAUUGUCGCAUGCCUAGCCCAGUAGGCCUAGGCCCGCGGGCCGGGUUGGGGUUCCGUGUGUGUUUAAUGCAGCCACACGCCACGGGUUAGUGGGGCUCGUGGGCGUAACCGAUUCCCACGCCCCCACAUCUCUCCGGGCUUUACAAGGGAGGGGAGGAGGAGGGCCCGAGGCCAUUAGCAUUCUGUCCCCCUCCCCUCGUCUUCCUCCUCGAGCUUCGACUCAAGCUCGAGCCAGGGACGCCCGCCGUCCUAACUUCCUUCACGCGCCCGCAACGCUCGUCACUCUCCACGCUCGCCGCCUCCUCCUAUUCCUCCGCAUGCUCGCAGCGCCCGCUGUCGGCGACCCGCUGGGUGGCCGCAUCUCCCUUCCACGCCUCUUCUUCGCACCGACGUCGUCGUCGAGCUCGGAGAUGGCUGCGCCGCUCUUGUUUGUGGGAUGGCUGCAACAUUACUUUGGAGGAUAUCGAGUGCCCCCUUAGCGCCCGCAAGAUCCCGCCGGCGGAUCAGGUCGCCUUUCGUGUCACGGGGAGGGAGCGCAUGCCAGCACCACGGCCGGGGGAGCACAUAGUCGUCGCCUCGUACUUUACGCGUGGCUUUGGGCUGCCGGAAGUAGGUUCGCCCGACAAUUCUUAGGAUGCUGCCGCUCCAGCAGCGGCCGAACCACAUCUGCGACAUGGACUUCCUAAAAAAACCAUGCCGGUUGUCGACGAUCGACCACUAGCCGGCCAAGAUAGCCGGCUGUGUCAACGCCAUCUCCAACUUCAAGUUGGUCAUAGACGACUGGUGGUUCGGCAAGGAGCCGUACCGUUGGAGCGUUUCACUCGGUAGAUCACGCCAGACGGACCGCAACUUCUGAUCUUCGCGGACGACCGCAUGGAGUCCGAUCUCGUGGACUACGAGACGGAGAACGAUGACUCCGAUGCCUCCGGCGGCUCGGAGGCGCUGGAGGUGGAGGAGGAGGAGCCGGCCGGCACAGGGACCAACGGGUCCGGGCGAGCCUGUGAGUCCCACCUUAAAGUCACUUUGAAGGGCUGGACUGACGAUUAUGAUGACGACGUCGGAAUCUUGGACGCCCCGCCUAUCAUAGUGAUGCCGCCCUGGAGGCGGCAGCCGGGAGGUAGCGAGGAGCUUCCGGCUAGGGAGCAGCCGGCCCGCCGGCAAACGGUGGAGGAGCGGAGGCGGGAGAAGCGGCCGACUGAGGAGCAGCCGACCGUUCCGGCCCCCAGGAAGGCGUGGUCCGCUAUCAUACCCUUGGGCACUCGGCCUGGGCGGGGCAGGCGCCAGCCACCCACCACAUCCGGGUAAAUACUUCCGGUCUAGAACUCUUUUGGCUUCUAUGGGUUUCCAACUCACGUUUUUAUUUGGUUUCUCUCUUCCUGGUAGAGCCGCCAUCGAUCUUCCUGCGGCGGCCCCGUCGGGGCCAGUUGGCGAGGGAGGCGCGAGGCUGGCCAGGGAGCACGCCGCAACCGUGCCGUUGGAGAAGGAGGGGUCGCCCAACUGCGAGCGGACGAAGCGGCGGCGGUGGCCGCCAAGAAGGGUGUCGCGACCAAGGGUGCGGGGAGCGCUGUGACGCCGUCGGUCCCUGGGACGAGUCCUCCCGAAGCAUUGCCUGGCCAGGAGAAACACUCGAAGCACCGGCAGGAGCUGGCCCCGCCUUCGAGCGCGGAAGUGGCAGCGUCGGUCGUGUUGCGGACCCCGUAGCCGGCCGUCGCCCAGUCGGCCGAGAGUGACGUGGCACUAGCUGCCCAGGAGGUGGUGGUGCCUGAGGGGAGUGGGCCAGUCGGCCCGGAGGUGGAGUUGCCGCACCCUCCAGAGCCAAGGGCCUCGGGCGCCAAUGCUCGGGCCCUCGUCGUUUCGUCGGCGAAGACUGGCCCCACGCCGACCGGUCCGAGCGUGUUGAGGCCGACUGAAAGCGGGUCCGGCCAGCUCGGCCGGUCCAUGACCCAGCCCUAGGAGGAGUGGGCGAAGCUGAGCCGUGCCCCCACCGCGUCCGGGCUGACCGCGUCGGCUGGGUAGCAAGCCCUUGAGCUGGCCGACAUGGACGGUGCAAUGGCUUUUUACCGACAAGAGGUAGCGGCCUUCGCCAACGCCGCGGUGGCCAACUUCCAAGCGGUGGAGCGGGCUGUUUAGGUUAGCCUCCCCUCUUAAUCUUUUUGCGUUGAAUUUUAUCUAUGCUCAGUGGGGGCGCGCCAGCGCACCCAUUGAGUGUAGUCCUCGAGAUGCAGGCUGGCUGCGAGGCUAUGUGGCAGCCGGCCGGAUCUUCUUGCGAUUUGUCUUGUGCAUAGUGGGUGCGCUGGUGUAGUCCUCGAGAUGCGGGUUGGCUACGCGGCUGCGUGGCAGCCAGGCCGAAUCUUCUUGUGAUUUGUCUUGCGGUUUUAUGUUUUGUCCUGGCAACCUUCUCUGCAGGCUGAGCGCGAAACGUGACGUGUUGUUCGCCGAGGCCGUUAAUGCGUACCGGCUUUGCAAGGUCGCGUACCUCCGGAGCAAGGACCUCGAAGCCUGAAUGGCGGAGUUGCAGGUGGCCAAAGGUACGCGUCUUCUAGUGGGUGUAGUCCCCGAGAUUCGGGACGACUAGCGGUUGCAUGGCAGCCGGGCCGGAUCUUCUCAAGUAUGUCUUUUGCUUUGUCUUUUGUCCAGCCGGCUGUUGACUGGCUUUCUUUCUGCAGAGGGAUCAUCCCUGAGGUGGAGGCGGACGAGCUGCGACACGCUGGGGAAGGUCUGGUAGAAGCGGGACGAGGCUGCUGGUGAGCGCGACCGGCUUGGGAACGAGCUCCAGGCGGCGCGGAAGACGGCGGAGCAGCUGGCGGCCAGCCAUAAGGCGGAGUUGGAGCACCUUGGCGCGGAGCUCCAGAAGGAGGUGGCGACCAAGGAGGACGCGACGAAGGCAUUAGUUGUGAAGAAGUGGGAGGAGGAGACCCUCCGCGUCGAGGUGCCCUGGCUCGGAGAGGAGCUCAGCAGCGGAAAAGGCGGCGGAGAAGGCGGCGGCCAGCGAGCGUGUCGUGGCGCUCAAUCUCUUCCACAAGCUCGACAUGGCCUUCACCCGUAAGUGUCUUGGUCGGUUCUUUCUUCUUUCUUCUUUUCGUUGCGUCCGACCGGCAGUCACCGCAGGCCGACACUUGGGUUUCUUCUUUUCUUCUCAUUGCUUUUCUUUUUGACUAGGCCAUGUUCCGGAGACCCAAGAUCGGUCGGAUCGGGCCGUGGCGCAGCACAGGAAGGAUCUCCGCCGGGGCGGCUGUGAGGUCGACGAGCUCGCCGGUUCGACGUUGGAGGAGGUCGUUAAGGUGCUCUGGCUGAACCGGUAGGUGCCGAUCGCGUCGAUCGGCUGUCCAGAUGGCUUGAGCAUGCCGUGGGGCGAAUCGAUGCCUGGAAGGCCUCCGCAACGCGGGCCGGUGCACGGAUGGCGCUGUCCUUCGCCUGUCGUGGUACCUUGGGAUCGACUUGGACCAGCUAGCGACCAUACGCUACGAGGCAGUUGAUGAUCUGGCACAGCGCGAUGAGGCCAUCGGCUUUCGCGACAACGAGCUCGCCAGCUACGCUUCCUUGGAUGAGUACUUCUCCGAGCAGGGGGAGGACGACAUGCCUGUCCCAGAGGACGAGUUUAACGUCCCGAUUGUGGACGACGAGGAGGGGUUCGGCUCCAGCUCUGGAGAAGACGGCGUUGAGGCCGCGGAGGAGGCUCAGCAGACCCCGUCGGCCGACGAGGCAGCUGACACGGAUCUGGCCCCGCCAGCGGGUGAGGCGGAGGCGCCAGCGGCCUAGCUUUCUUUUUGCUUCAAUCUUUCCAUGUUAGCAAACAAUUCCAACCCCUUGGGGGUGUAGUUUUAUUGUAACCGAACCACCGACCAGAGUCCGUUUAUCUUAGUAAUGCUAGUUUACGGUUGCCGGCCCGUAUAUCUUUGUUUGCCUUAGCCCCUUUUUUCCAACUGCCCCGCUCCCUUGGCUUUUGCUCCCUCUGCCGAACAAUCGGGUUGCGGUCUGUAGCCUAAUUGAGAAGUGGGCCGCGGGGUGAGGACAUGGUACUUUAGACUUUUGCAACUUAGAUUAGAACGGGCGUGCGGGGUCGGGCGUGCCGCAGGCGGCGCUGCCGGCCGGAGUGCUGCAUGGCUCGGCUGGACCGGGUCCCUACCUUUGUCGUUUUUCCUAUAUGCGCGCCCCUUUGGCUUGUGCUCCCGCCGGCCCGACAGCCGAGUUGCGUUCUGUAGCUGGGUCAAGGGUUGUGCCCUGAGGGUGGGGACAUAGUACCGGGCCAACACCGGUAGGGGAGGUGCGGGCAAACCGACGAGUCCCUAAGCCUCACAUGCUGGUCCGGGGGCCGGCGGAAAAAUAAAACGGGGAAACAUGCAAGUGGAGUCCCCGAGACCUGCUCGGGGGCGCCGAGUGCUUCAUUUGAUAACUCAAAAGAUUUUGAUACAUAUAUACACUUGCUUCAACUGUAAAACGGGCUGAGCUGCUCGAUGUUCCACGGGCACUCCGUGUCGGAGCCGGAGCCGUCCUUCUUGUUCUUUCUUGCCUUCUGCGCGUCGAUCAGAUAGUACACGUUGUUGUGCAGGCCUUGCUGAUGAUGAAGGGGCCCUCCCAGCGGAGGACAACUUGUGCUGGCAGGUUGUCCGUUGGAUCGGCUAGUGCACCAGGUCGCCCUCGCGGAACGCGAGAGGCUUGACCUAUCGGUUGUGGCAGCGGCGUAGGUUUUGCUGGUAGAUGGACGAUCUGGACAAGGCCAGCUCGCGUGCCUCCUCGAGGAGGUCGACGCCGUCCUCGCGCACCUCUUUGGCUUCGGCCUCGGUGUAGAGGGUGACGCGCGGCGAGUCGAACUCGAUGUCGGUGGGUAUGAUCGCCUCCGCCCCGUAUACGAGGAAGAAGGGGGUGAAGCCGGUCGACCGGUUGGGGGUGGUCCGGAGACUCCAGAGCACAGCCGGUAGUUCCUUGAUCUAGCAGUCGGUCGAGCGCUCCAGCGACUCGACCAACCCGGGCUUGAUGUUGGCCAGGAUUAGGCCGUUGGCUCUCAGCCUGGCCGUUUGACUAGGGGUGGGCCACGGACGCAAGGUCCACCCUGAUCCCUUGCGCAGAGCAGUAGCGGGCGAGCGCACCUUUGGUGAAGUUGGUGACAUUGUCGGUAAUGAUGUUGUGUGACAGGCCGUAGCGGACGGCGAUGUCCUUCAUGAACGUGACGGCUGUCGGGCCGUCCAUCUUUUUGAUCGGCUUGGCCUCGAUCCAUUUGGUGAAUUUGUCGACGGCGACCAACAUGUGUGUCAUGCCGUCCCGGGCGGUCUUGAACGGGCCCACCAUGUACAAACCCAAGAUGGCGAACGACCAUGUGCUGGCAACCACUGCACUUGUCGACCAAGUCCUUGGCGUCCCAGAGUGCAGUCGGUCAGAAGAAACCGUGGCGGAGUGCCUUGGCCACCAGGGCCCGCGAGGCGGUGUGGUGACAACACUUGCCUUGGUGGAUGUCCCGGAGGAUCUCGCGCCCUUAUUCUGGCUCGACACAGCGCUGGACCACACCGGUCACGCUGCGCUUGAUGAGCUCGUUGUUGAUGAUGGUGUAGGUCGGCGCACGAUGUUGGAUUUGUCGGGCCUCUACCUCGUCAGCGGGCAGCUCACCGCUCAUGAGGUAGGUGAGGAAGGGCUGUGCCCAGGACGGGACCGUGACCGCUGUUAGGACGGCUGCUGCCGUCGGGCCGGCUGUGCCGGAGCCGGUAGCCGUCGGGGCAGAGCCGACAGCCCUCGGGGCGGGCUGGGAGCCCCCGAGGCGGGGUCGGGAGCCUCCGGGAUGGAGCCGACGGUUCCCGGUCGGCCAGGAUGAAGAUGGAAUUGGAGUCCGGCGAGAGCUUGAUGGAGGGGCUUGCGUAGGUGCUCGAGGGACACGCUGGCUGGGAUAGGCUGCCGGGUGGAGCCGAUCUUGACGAGUGUGUUUGCGGCCUCGUUGCUGGCUCGAAGUAGAUGGAACUCACAACCCUCGAAACAACCUGUAAGUUGCUGGACCAGGAAAGGAUAGUUGACCAUGUUCGCGUCUCUGGCAUCCCAUUCGUCAGUGAUUUGCUGCACCACCAUGUCGGAGUUGCCAAAGCACAAGAUGUGCCGAACGCCGAUCUCCCUGGCCAGCCGGAGGCCGUGGAUGAGCGCUUCGUACUACACCAUGUUGUUCGAGGCGGCGAAGUGGAUCUGCAGGAUGUACUGUUGCCGAGGACGAUGCCGGCUCCCAGGACGGAGCGCAUCUUCAAGCUGUCGAAGUGCAUGCGCCAUUGAGUGGAGUCGGGGUCGGUGGGAGGUACUCCGUCCCCGCCCGGUCGACCAGAAAGUCCGCCAAGGCUUGGCACUUGAUGGCCGUGCGGGGCUCGUAGAUGAUGUGGUGGUCGGCCAGCUCGAUGGCCCACUUGGCGAUCUGGCUAGUUGCAUCCUGGUUGCCCAUGAUCUUCCCGAGGGGUGCAGUGCUCACCAACGUGACACGGUGCAACCAUGAUCUCCCCGAGGGGUGCAGUGCUCACCAACGUGACAGGGUGCAACCAUGAUCUUCCCGAGGGGUGAAGUGCUCACCACCGUGACAGGGUGCUCUUGGAAGUUGGGCUUGAGCUUCCGAGCCAUCACGAGCACUCCGUAGCACAUCUUCUAGUAGUGGGGGUAGUUCUGCUUAGAGGUUGACAGAACCUCGCUCAAGUAAUAGACCGGUCGCUGGACCGGUUGGGCGCGGCCCGACUCCGGUCGCUCGACCGCCAUGACAACGCUGACCAACCGGGUGGUGGCGACGAUGUAGAGCGAUCAUCAUCUUCAGGGACUUCGUCUACUACCUCGACAUCUUCAGCCACCGCUUUGACUGAGCAGGAUAUUCUGAGACUUAAGCGUCUGCUCGCUGUUUCCGGUUCUUCCUUGACGGGUACUGCUGGUUCUGUGACUGAUGCUUCUCGCACUGAGCAACCACCUUCUACACAGUCAGGUACAUCCCCAUGGGUUCUGGACUGUGGAGCUUCUUUUCAUAUGUCUUCUCAUUCUUCCACUCUGUCCUCUCUUCGAUCGCUUGAUUCUCAUGUUCAUGUCCUCACUGCUGAUGGACUCCUCUUUCUGUCGUUAGUCGAGGCAAUCUUACCACUCCUUAUUCUGUCCCCGAUGUUGCUCAUGUUCCUUGACUUACCAUGAAUCUAUUUUCUGCUGGUCAACUUAUUGAUUCUGGUUGUCGCGUCAUCCUUGACGUUGACUCUUGUUCUGUUCAGGACCGUCGCACGCACAUUCUGGUUGGGGCUGGCCCUCGCCGCCGUGAUUCUCAGGGUCUUUGGGAGUUAGACUGGCUUCAUGUUCCUUCAGCUGCCACCACUAUCGCCAGUUCCUCCGCUUCCGUCGCCUCCGCUACUGGUUCGUUCCAGCAGUGGCAUCAUCGACUUGGUCAUCUGUGUGGUUCUCGUUUGUCGUCUUCAGUUCGUCGAGGUCUUCUGGGGUCUGUCUCAGGAGAUGUCUCUUUAGAGUGUCAGGGUUAUCGUCUUGGCAAGCAGAUUCAGUUACCAUAUUCACAUAGUGAGUCAGUGUCUAAGCGUCCUUUUGAUUUAGUCCAUUCUGAUGUAUGGGGUUCGGCUCCCUUCGCUUCGAAAGGGGGUUAUAAAUACUAUAUUAUUUUUAUAGAUGAUUUCUCUCGCUACACAUGGCUUUAUUUCAUGACUUCUCGUAGUGAGGUGUUGUCUAUUUAUAAGCGUUUUGUUGCCAUGGUUCACACUCAGUUCUAUUCGCCCAUUCGUGUGUUUCGUGCUGACUCCGUUGGCGAGUAUAUCUCUAAGAUGUUGCGUGGUGUUCUUGCUGAGCAAGGGACUCUCUCUCAAUUCUCUUGUCCUGGUGCUCACGCUUAGAAUGGCGUGGCUGAGCGAAAGCAUCGUCAUCUUCUUGAGAUGGCUCGUGCAUUGAUGAUUGCUGCCUCUCUCCCGCCUCAUUUUUGGGCUGAGGCUGUCUCCACUCCACCUAUCUCAUCAAUCUACAGCCUUCCGCUGCUCUACAAGGUGGUGUUCCUUUCAAGCGUCUUUUUGAUCGUUCCCCCAAUUAUUCGAUGCUUCGUUUGUUUGGUUGUGUUUGCUAUGUUCUUCUUGCCCCUCGCGAACGCACCAAACUGACCGCUCAGUCUGUUGAGUGUGUCUUCUUAGGCUAUAGUGAUGAGCAUAAGGGCUAUUGUUGUUCGGAUCCUAUCGGUCGUCGGAUGCGUAUCUCUCGGGAUGUGAUUUUUGAUGAGUCUCGUCCUUUCUACCCACGCCCAUCUUCCUCGACCUUUUCAGUCGAGGAUAUCUCUUUCCUCACUUUUUCUGACACACCUAUCACCCCUAUCGACCCUUUGCCUAUUCGCUCCACUCCCUCUGCUUCUCCAUCUCUUGUCGAUUUGCCGCCACCAUCUUCCCCGGUCUCCUCGCCUAGCAUGUCACCAGAUUCUGCACCUUCAUCUCCGGUGACUUAUUCGUCGCUACCCCCCGAUUCUACCUUGGCGAUUCCUCCUUACAUUGUUCCAUCUUUUCCACAGUGUUACACUCGUCGUUCACGUCCUGUGGAUGCCUCUGCGGAUGUGUCGUCAUCCUCGUCUCAGUCUACCUAUGGCUUGCGUUCUCGUCCUCGUUCGCCUGUUGAUCGUCUUGGAUUUCCCACCGCUGGUGCUGCUGUUCUUGAGCCGACUUCUUAUCGUCAGGCUGUUGUUCAUCCUGAAUGACAGUUUGCAAUGGCAGAGGAGAUUGCUGCUCUUGAACGCACUGGUACAUGGGAUCUUGUUUCCCUUCCUUCCGGUGUCCGUCCCAUCACUUGUAAGUGGGUCUACAAGGUUAAGACUCGCUCUGAUGGUUCUCUUGAGCGUUACAAAGCUCGUCUUGUGGCUCAUGGUUUUCAGCAGGAACAUGGUCGUGAUUACGGCGAGACUUUUGCUCGUGUGGCCCAUAUGACCACUGUUCGUACACUUCUUGCCGUGCCCUCUGCACGCCACUGGACUAUAUCUCGGCUUGAUGUUAAGAAUGCCUUUCUUAAUGGUGAACUGCGUGAAGAGGUGUACAUGCAGCCACCACCUGGGUAUUCUGUUCCUGAUGGCAUAGUAUGUCGCCUUCGUCGCUUUCUCUAUGGCCUUAAGCAAGCCUCCCGCGCCUGGUUUGAGCGUUUUGCCUCUGUGCUCACUGCCGUUGGUUUUUCAGCAAGUGCUCAUGAUCCAGCAUUAUUUGUUCACCUUUCUCCUCGUAGUCGGACUCUUCUUCUUCUCUAUGUUGAUGACAUGAUCAUCACUGUGGAUGACCCCGAGUAUAUUGCCUUUGUAAAGGCUCGUCUUAGUGAGCAGUUUCUUAUGUCUGAUCUUGGACCUCUUCGCUACUUUCUUGGGAUUGAAGUCUCUUCUACCUCUAAUGGCUCUUUUAUAUCCCAGGAAAAGUAUAUUCAGGAUCUUCUUGCUCGUGCUGCUCUUACUGACGAGCGUAUUGUUGAGACUCCCAUGGAGCUCAAUGUUCACCUCCGUGAUACUGAUGGUGAUCCCUUGCCUGACCCGACGCGUUAUCGUCAUCUUGUUGGCAGUCUUGUCUAUCUAGCUGUCACUCGUCCGGAUAUCUCUUAUCCGGUUCAUAUUCUGAGUCGGUUCAUCUUUGCUCCCACCUCAGUUCACUAUGGUCAUCUCCUUCGUGUUCUCCGAUAUCUUCGGGGCAUGAUCUCUCACCGUCUAUUCUUUCCUCGCUCCAGUUCUUUAUAGCUUCAGGCCUAUUCAGAUGCUACGUGGGCUAGUGAUCCUUCAGAUAGCCGUUCACUUUCUGCUUAUUGUGUUUUUCUUGAUGGUUCUCUCAUUGCCUGGAAGACGAAGAAACAGAUUGCAGUUUCCCGUUCGAAUGCAGAGGCUGAGUUGCGAGCGUUGGCUCUUUUGAUGGCAGAGGUGACUUGGUUACGGUGGUUACUUCAGAACUUUGGUGUCUCUGUCACUACACCGACUCUGCUCUUAUCUGACAGUACAGGUGCUAUUAGUAUUGCGCGCGAUCGUGUGAAGCAUGAACUCACCAAGCAUAUUGGUGUUGAUGUUUUCUAUGUGCGCGCUGGUGUGCAGGAUCAGGUUAUUGCUCUUCAGUAUGUGCUUUCCGAGUUACAGUUGGCGGAUUUUCUGACGAAGGCGCAGACUAGAGCGUAGCAUGGCUUCUAUCUCUCCAAACUCACUGUUCAUCCACCAUGAGUNGGGGGGGGGGGAGGGGGUGUUAGAGUAUAUAUAAUAUAGUCGUGUACCCUUUUGUAUUUAUCCCAAUAUAUAAGGGUUUUUUUGCAUAUAGUCCACCACCUGUACAUGUAUAUAUAUCGGCCUAUGACCUCAUGGGAAUACAAGUUGCAUAUGUCCCCUAAUAAUAAAGCGCGGUUCGCUUCUGUCGUCCGUCAUGGCCAUUUUGCAAAAAAGCCCCUAUCAUUUUUGUAAUUCAACCCGCACUAUAGUUUUAAGUGAGUCGAGAGGAGGAAGAAGAAGAACCAGCGGGCGACGGCUCUGGAUCGGGAUCCCCUCCCGUUCAGGUGCUCGAGGGGAGGUGCGGGGCGGUGCGGGGGGCCACCGGGAAGGGGCGGCGCGGACGACCGGGACGAGACGGGGCGCGCUAACACCGGCCGCGGGCAGAGUGGCGCACGGGGGCGGCCGAAGUGGCGGUGCCGAUGCGGUGAGGCGACGCGGGCGCGUGGAGAAGUGGCGCACGGGGGUGGCCGGAGGGGCGGAGCCGACGCUGGGAGGCAACGCGGGCGCGUGGAGACAGGGCGGGUGGAGCUGCGCGCGGACCGGAUGCGCCACCACGGGGUCGGUCCGCUCCACCCGCACCUCCCCGCCGGCCGCCGCGGAGCUCGGUUCAGACGGAAUUAGCGGUGCGAGAAAGAUCUAAAGGCGUCUGGGAUGUGGAUGAGGUGUGGCGAGGGAAACUCCCUUUUUAGCGGUGAGGACCAGCGUGAAGGCCGUUACCUUAGUGGAUGCUAAAACGAACACAUGUACGAGAAUGGGCUAUGGGCCUAAUGCAUGAGUUGGCAUGUUACUAAUUUUUCUCCGUUACUUGGGUAAUUCGAGUGCUUGAUGGUUAAAACCGAAGCGAACGAUGCAAUUUUCGGUUAUACAAAGUUGCUGACCGAAUUUAGUAUAAACAUUUUCGGUUUCGGUCUAUUUGGCUUCGCUCUCGGUUUUUUCGGUUCGGUAAUUCGGUCUUCGGUUAAAAUGCCCACCCCUAGGUGCGAGGGCCAAACGGCACACGUCGCCCAUGCAAACAAGGGGAUUAAAACAAAGAAAAAAAAGUUAAUUUAUGGGUUUAUUUCUACAUUUUUGACAAAAUAUUUAAAUCCUUUGUGCCCAUUGUGACACAAACACAUGGCGGAACAAUAUAUGCCUAGACGAGAAUGAAAUAAGUACAUAAAUUAUUUCCAAGGACUGCUGAUUCCGGUUUAUAUAAGUGCAUACUAAACCAUGGAUGACAAAACAUAGUUCGGUUUUCAAUUAGUAGCUGAACUCUGGAAGAAUGUAAAGAGAAGUCGCAUCCCUCGUUCCAACCAUUGUCCCUAGACCCGUAGCAACGCACGGGCAUUUUUCCUAGUUCCUAACAAAAAGUUCUCACCGGCGUGUCUUGCAUUUCGCGCUCCCGGCGAGGCCUUUCCGGCAACGUUGUCUUGCGUAUCGUGCUCGAUAUCAGGGGUACCCCGUGACAUGUUUGCGUGCGAACAGCCUUGUCAUUCUGCCCAAGCAAGUGAGAUACAAUGUCCUGUGAAAUUGAAUACUGCUUAUGCUUUUCUUUGUUUUAUCAUCCUGUCCAAGAGGGUUCAGUACGUCAUCUGAAGAAGCCAAGUACCUCCCAUGUUUUGUUUUGCCACUCUACCUAACCAAACAGUUGCUCCUUAUAGGUUGCAUGAAAAGAUCCUUUUGCACCAGAAAUGAUGACAAAUUGAUAGUUACUGCAAGUUACCUAGAUCCUUGCUACUCCCUCUGUCCCUAAAUAUAAGUCUUUUUACAGAUUCCACUAGGGGACUAUAUAUGGAGCAAAAUGAGUGAAUCUACACUCUAAAGUAUGUCUAUAUAUAUCUGUAUAUAAUCUCCUAGUGAAACCUCUAAAAAGAAUUAUAUUUAGGAACAGAGGAAGUAGUUGGUUUAAGUUUGAUCAUCGGAGUUACUAAAAAUAUACCGAGAUAAUUGUACUUGAGAUGCUGAUGGUUUUUCCUCCGUUUUGCUGGUGUCAGAAAUAUUCACCACCAUUAAUCAUUCGAUGGUCAAUGUCUAGUCAUUGACAGUAACGAGUCCAUGACCACAAUUCUGACUCCAUUUUUGACAGUCUCUGCUUUAGCGCUUGACAACCAAAAUCAUGGUCUCUUUUAUUUUGGCAGGUGAAACCUCGAAGGACAGCGACAUCGAUAUGGAGGUAACAUGCUCAUUCCUGUGACAUCCAUUUGUAUUGUUAGAAAAAUUAUAUGCAUUUGAAAGGUUUGUAUGUAUGGUGGAGAACAUAAAUAGUCCAUUGCAGGAAAUAAUAAUAACUGGAACUUCAUGUAUCGUGAUAUUUCCAGUUUAAAAAACAUAGAUCCUAUACCUACAGUAGAACUUUCAUGAUCCAAUACUUAUCUGCAGCGAAGUCAUGAACUGAUGCACAUUUUAAAGUAUCCACUUACAGUUACAGAUGCUUGUUUUGAACAUGAAACUCAUCGGACAGCUAUUGAAACUAGAAUUAUGGAAGUAGAGGUCGGUACAAUUAAUGUUGGUAUAGUCACGGCGAAUCAUCAAAGAAGCAUUCUGCCUCCGCUCUGUUAAUGUAAUUAAUGAACUCUCUGCAAUAUACUCCCUCCGUGAAGAAAUAUAAAAGCAUUUAGAACACUACUUUAGUGAUCUAAAUGCUCUUAUAUUUCUUUACGGAGGGUGUAGAUAGUAUGCACUUCAGCUCAUGUGUAAAUCUGUUGUGGCAAGUUAUCUGCAAAUCCUUGUUUAUCUCAAAACUGCAAUAUGUCUACGAGCUAGCAGAAGUAGGAUACCUGCAAAUUCGUCUGAUCACACUAUGCUGAUGCUGUCAUGUUGCUAGACACUGUUGGUUUUGUGACAAUGCGCUCAUACAAUUUUCCGACAUUCUAACAGGGAUAACUGGAAUGUGCUCAAGGCCCCCAAGCAUGCAUGUGUGCAAAUAACAAUAACAUAAUGGUACCAAACCUGCUAGACACUGUUGUUUUUGUGACAAUGGGCUGAUACAAUUUUCCGUCAUUUUAGCAGGGAUCUGGAAUGUGCUUAAAGGCUCCCUAGGACGCAUGUGUACGAAAUAACCAGAACAUAAUGAUAUCAUUGAAAUCACCCCAAAGGGACUUACCUGCUGUGCAACUUGUUAUUUCUGGGGGUCCUCGCUUGGUGUUCUACUAGGCUACUCAUAAUUUGGAUUGGUAAUCAUGUGCCCAGCUUUGCUCAUGUUUUGAGAUCUUGGAGCAGUGACCAUCCAUCUUUGAUGCUUUUGUUUCUAGUUUUCUUCCAUGUGUAUUAAGCGUUGAUGUAGUAUGGCGGACUAUAUGUAACUAGUAGUAUAUCUGCUAUCAGUGACGAAAAACUGCCAUUUUUUAUGACUCUGAAAUGUUUCAGCCAACUAUUAGAUGAGUUUCAAAUCUUGUGGAAAGUGUAUAUUUGGUUAGAGCAUCUGCAACCGAACUCUCAAACCCUCCCAGUCCAGGCGGACAACUUGGUCAUCACUCACCGAACCAGAACCUCCAAAACCAACCCAAAUGUCCGAGCUGUCCGGCAACGCUGAAACCCAAUCCAUAUAAGUGGCAUGGAUAUGGGGUUGCCUGGAUGAGUCCGGCAAGUCGGAUCCGAGUGGCUGGCCAAAUCUUUUCAAAUUGUCCCUAACCUAGCGUGACUUACCUUCCCCUCCUAUCUAUUGCCCUUGUUCGUGUUAAAAGUUAUGAUGUCCUUUGAUUUUUUGUAUUUUGGCCUCCUUUAUGUACUUUUAUAUAGGGAAGUGCCACGCGUCCGCCAAUUGAUCUUUUCAAAAGAUCGGCCAGAGCGUCAGACAUGAGCCUUCCAACCGUUAUCUUUCUUAUUUUUCUGUAACAAAGCCUUUGUUGCAAAACCUCUAUUGUAGCAGGGCCUUUCUUGCAAAAGCAUUUCUGACCUUUUGUUGUAUUUCUGCAACAAGACCUUUAUUAUAAAAUUUGCAACAACAAUCUUAACCUUUUCUUUGUUUCCUGUAACAAAACCUUUGUUUCAAAAAACAAGACACUACAACACAAAUCAUGCCGCAGAAACUCGUCGACCUGUCGUAUUUAUGCAACAAGACAUUUGUUGUAAAAAAAUUGCAAGAAAGACCGCGGAAACUUGUUGUGUCGUAGUUGCACUAGGUCCGCACAACAAUGAUGUUGCAGAAACUUAGUUGCGGUGAAGGUGAAGGAUCCUGUCCCCUGUGGGAGGUCUUCCCCGAUUGUUGCAUAGCACCGGCCGAUGGCCAUAGUAGCCGAGCACCUACCAUGAGCUUCAUGGCAGUGUGACCUGACGACGCAGCAACAACUCCUAGCAGCCGCAACAGCCGCGAAUAGCUCGAUCGCUUAUCCACAUGUUGGUAGCUUGGGACGCCAUGGCUUGCUACAAAAAGCGAGGAGUUGGAGGAGUAAGGGCUGCUUGUUGUAAGGGAUGAGGAAAAGCCAUGGUUGCUUGACUGCAAGGCGUUUCGUGCGCGAGGACCAAAAAGAUGUAUGCAGUGAUCUGAGAGGUAGAGAGGUAGAGGAAAGCGACUUGAGAUAUUAUGGGGGAGAGGAAGAAGCAUUGAUUUCUCUAGAAGAGGUAAGAUUGAAAGAAAGACGUGGGCCAAGGUGGCACGUGGCAAAAGGUAGACGCGGUCGACGUUCGCAUGAGAUCCGCUGGUGGGAAGGAAGUGUUUCCCUUUUAUAUAUGAUGGCUUUGGCCUUUAGAUAAUACUAAAUUACAUAUUCAUAACAUGGUACUACAACUUAGGUUCUUUUUUAGCACGGGCAACUCAUGCUUGAUCCUCUACUCGUGGCAUUGUGAUCUCUUAGCCGAUUGUCGCUGCUCCGAUGCACCCUCGUCUUCCCAAUUCGACCCGCUUCGUCCCCUGUAGGUCUUCACUCCUUUGAUUGAGUCCACUUCGCUAGAUCGAGUCACACUUCUUCUGCUGCCUAGCGAUCUUCUCUCAUGGACUCGUUCUCCAGGCCGGUCGCCGCCCACCCGUCUUCUUCAGGCUAGGUCGUUGUCACUUCGCCUCCUUCAGGUCGCGGCCCCGCCUCCUUCAGGCUAGGCCGGCCGCCCUGCGACCUCCCUGGUUGUGGAUAGUCUUGGGGCUCCGCCUUCUUUGUCGGCCCUGGCCGUUGCUGGAUCCAAUUCCGGUUUCCUCAAGGUCGACCUGCCGGUUGGCCGCCACUAAACAUCGCCCUAGUAUCUCCUAUGUAACACCCUGAAUUUUGGCUCUUUUUUCUUUCUCUCAAAAUAUCUUGGUUUAUUUGAAUUUCUCAAAUUCUUUGAAUUUGCUUGGAUCGUACCUUGGCCUUUUUUGAUUAACUUUUUGCACCAAAAACUUGAAAGUAGGCUUCCUGCCUUGAUGAUAGAGGCAAAGUUGUCACUGUCUUUCGAUGAGACGUGACUAUCGUUUAUGAUGGAGUAGACUUUGACGAUCCGACUACGAACGUGUGAUGACGUCACGUCUUAGCAAUCGAUAAACCAACCCGAGAGGUUAUUGACCACUCUGGAGCAUGAUCAACCUCACCAUGAGGGUCUGUUCCUUGCACGCAAACGAAAAACAAGCAAGGAACUGAAAUUGUAAUCUGGAUAUUGCAAAUAUAAGAAAAAAACUUUAUUGAUGAAAGUGGGGUUCUGUGAUGUCUUGGUCUGGUCGUAGAACACAAACGAAGGACGUGAAGUUGCAGCUGUGGUGAACUUGUAAUUAAAAAACCCCAAGUUCAAACGACGGCCUAAGGGUUGUAUAUAUGAGGGAAUAGAGGGGAAUUUCGUGACCCCUUGGAGGAGGGGUCCGAAACCAACCCUAACUCUGUUUUCCCAUACAUACGGAUUCAAAAAUAGCAUAUAAUGUGGUAUUUCGAAAUUACAUGGGCGUGGCCAAAAAAUAAGGUGACCCAUCACCUAUAAUAGCCUAUGGAUGAAAUUUAUGAACUGACAUCUUGUACAUUUCGUCCAAGCCUUCGUGUCCUUAUGGUGGCUUCAAAGUACGAAAAUCACCACUAGAAACUCUAUUGUUAUUUCCCCCGCGCGCACCUCCUUAUCCAUGCUUGAUUUCACUUCAAUGGUCAUCUUUCUUGUCCAUGCUAGGUCCUUCAUUCAUAAAUAAAACAAAAGUAUCUAAUUUAGGCAGCAUUAUAUCUUCACGAGCAUUAGAAGGAUUUCCAAUAAAUGAAAAUACCUCGUAAUUCAAUUGGAGUGCGCGAGCUCUAGUAAUUGGUCCAAUAUGUAUAGAUUUUGGGGCUGUGGGUGUAACACUGGUGUUGAUGUUCUCAUCAUCCUCCCCUUCUUAAAAUGAAGUCGUCCUCGACGGAAGCUCAUCUUCCUCAUCUAAAUAAGGCUUUAAAUCUGCAAUGUUAAAGGUGGGACUAACCCCAAACUCUGCAGGCAGCUCAAGUUUAUAUGCAUUAUUAGUUAUUUUCUCUAGCACCUUCAAAGAACUGUGACCACGUGGCAUUAGGUUUGACUUGCGCAAAUCAGGAAAUCUACCCUUUCGCAAAUAUAACUAUAAGGGCAUUCUCUUGCUUAUGUUUUGGUGAUGAUGACAACUCACUAUGUUAUCUAAACGGGUGUCAAGUAUGCAGGUAUCAUUUGUUAUACACAAGACGCUUAGGUUUUCCCUCCAAACGGAAAAUAUCGAAGACGUGUUCCCUGCGUGUUUAUUCUCUUUGGUCGUAGGGAUCCCGUACUAUUAAGAGGGAAUCCACAUUGGAAGUCUAUGGGUGAAUCAAUUCUUCUCACACACUGUUGCAUCCAUCACGUUCCAUCGCAUCACUAAGAGAGGAGCCCGUGUUUUUCUAACUGACCGGUUGUACCGCUGCUAUGAGCGGUUCUACCGCUCAACUAUUGGGUGGUUGUACCAGCACUGCAUCAGUCCACAACCGGUCAUGGCUCUGUUUCACUGCGGUUGUUGGGCGCUGGUGGCCCAAUUGUACCUCUAUAUUAAUUAUAGCCAGUACUACCGGUGUUCCAAGCGGUUGUACCGCUUGGGACUUAGCCACACCCAAUGGUCGUGGCUGGUGACACCUUAGGGCCAAAUUUCUGUUUUGGCCCGGUUGUAGGUCGGUGUUUCACUGGUUGUUCCGCUAAUAUAGGAACAUCGGUUGUAUCGGCCUGGCAACCGGUUGUAUCGCCCUGUGCAAAUUAGCUGCAACAGUUAGAAAUCUGGGGGGGCUAUAUAAGGAGAGUUUUCUUCUUCCUCCCCCUUAUCUCUUACCUCUCUCUCUCCUCCAUCGAUGCACUGAAGCUUUCUUGCCCGAUCUCUCUCCCUAGCCACCCAAACUUGUUGUCUUGCUAGGGAUUGAAGGAGGAGACCUAGAUCUACACUUCCACCAAAGGAAAAUUGAUUCCCCAAGUUCUUGUGUAGAUUUUGUUACUCUUGGGUGUUUGAGCACCCUAGACGGAAGAGGUCACCUCGGAGCCACAUUCUAUUGUGAUGAAGCUCCACGGUUUUGUUGGGAGCCUCCAAUUAAGUUGUUGAGAGAGCCCCAACAUUGUUGUAAAGGUCCAAUUGCCACCUUCAAGGGCACCACUUAGUGGAAUCACGACACUUCACAUUGUGUGAGGGCGUGAGGAGAAUACGGUGGCCUUAGUGGCAUCUUGGGGAGCAUUGUGCCUCCACACCGCUCCAACGGAGAUGUACUUCCCCUCAAAGGGAAGGAACUUCGAGAACACAUCCUAGUCUUCAUCGGUUCCACUUGUGGUUAUUUCUUACCUUUACUUGUAUUUACUCUUUGCUUAUUAUUGUUGUUGUUAGCAUCAUAUAGGUUGUUCACCUAGUUGCAUAUCUAGACAACCUAUUUGUUGUUAAACUUAAUUUGUUUAAAGAAAAGCUUAAAAUUUGUCAAUUGCCUAUUCAACCCCCCUCUAGUCAACCAUAUUGAUCCUUUCAAUUGAUAUCAGAGCCUCAUCUCUUUAUUAAGGGUUUCACCAUCCAAAGAGUAUGGUUAAUGACGGGGAACGGGUUGGUGAGGUGCCCAAGGGGGCGGUUGCAAACUCGGUCAUCCGAGAGUAAUUAAAUGAGGUCAUGUCCACAUUUAAAUCCUCGGUGCCUAUCAAAGUCAAAAGCAUGCUAAAGGAUUUCCUUGAUAUUUACAAAACCGCCUACCGACCCAUUGUUGGUGGCUCCCACAACUUCGGAUUUGGGGGGGGGGGCAAUUCCAAAAAUGGAAAUGCUAGAAGUGAAAAGGAUAAAACGCCUCAAGAAACAAGUGGGGCAAAUGCUUUUGCCUCUGUUCCUCCUCCCAUGGUCUAUGGAGGACUAGUUCACCCACCGCAUAUUGUUAAUCUAGGUCCUCAAAGCUUGUUAAGAAUGAUUUUUCUAACUUGGUUUUUCGUAUUAAGUCGCAUUUAAAUCACAACUCAACACAACUUUGGAGAAUCAUUGAGCAAGGAUACUACCCACGUGAUCCAAGCAACCUCACGCCAAGAGAAGAGGCUGACAAUCAGCUCAACCACUCCGCCUUGUUCAUUCUUCAAGAAGUUGUUCCUAUUGAAGAUCUUCCUCACUUGCGCCCCUUCACUUGCGCCAAAGACUGUUGGGAGCACAUCAUCUCCAUGUACAAGGUAAGCUCUAGCAUUCAACGGUCCAACUAUGAAGUGGUUCUUGGCGAGGCCGGUGAAUUUGCUAUGAUCGAGGAUGAGGACCCUGGUGAGCUAUAUCGAAGAGUUACAACUCUUCUUGUUUCUCUUCAGGAUCAUGGAAGCAAAGAUGUGGAUGACACUUGGAUUAAGAGCAACUUUCUCAAGGCCAUCACGCCUUUCAACAAGUCCAUGUCCUCGGUCAUCCGUCAAAGGCCCGACUUUCAUUCCUUGUCCUCAAGUGAUGUGUUGGAUGAGUUUAUUGCCAUGAACAUUUUGAACAAGACCACCGACAAUACUCUAGCCCGAGUUCAAUGGUCAAGAAAAGACUCCCCCAACCUUGUUUGAAGGCCAAGGCUGCUGUGGAGGAAGAUGAGGAAGACGAAGAAGAAUCUCGUCCUGAAGACACCAAGUAUGCUUACCACAAGCACAUGGAUCUUGCAUCAAGGCAGUUUUGGGGAAACAAGAAAAACUCAAGGCCCAACUUAUCCAAGAACAAGUCAAGUGGGUCUAAGGGAAAGCAACGCGUGAGAACUUGCUACAAUUGUGGCAAUGCAAGUCACUUUGUGGCAGAUUGUCCCUAUGAGCAGAGGGAAGACAAUGGUGGCAAGCUGAUUCGCAAAGACAAGACCAAGUCUUUCCCAAACAAGAACACCUUCCCCAAGAAGAUGCCCCCAAAGGGGUUGGUGGCUCAAGAAGUGUACCUCUCCGAUGAGGAUGAUGACAAUGAGACAAGUGGUGAAGCAAUGGGAAUGGCCACGGUGGCCAUUGCAUCUUCUUAUCCAAGCAAUGUGUAUCUCUUCAAUGACCACAACGAUAACCACGUUGCCAAGUGUCUGAUGGCCAAGGCAUCCAACAAGGUAACAUCUAAUGCUCAAACUUCCAACAUCAAAGCUACCAUUUCUGCCACUAUGGAUAUCGGAGAUGAAAAGGGAGAGGUAGAGGAGGAGGAAAACUCUUUUGGUAAUUUCAUGAGAAAUCUCAUGGGUAAAUCCAAGAAGCAUGUUAUUUCUCUCUUGGAAGAACUCGGUGAGGCUAAUGACCUUAUUGAAUCUCAUGAAGAUACUAUCUCUAUGCUUCAAGCUCAUAGUUGUGACUAUGCCGAUGAGAUUGCGGAUCUUUCCAUUGCUCUUAAAAAAGAACAAGGACUUCAUUUGAUUCUUGAGGAGUCACCUAACGAUGACCUUGCUAAGUUAAAGAAAGAUCUUGAUCAUGCUCUUGUUCUUACCCGUGUGCUUCAAUCCGAAAAGAGUCCACUUGGGCUUGAUCAUGAUAGACUCAAGAAAGAGCUUGCAAUACUUGACAAGGCUCACAAGACCUUGAAGAGUGCUCAUGUCUCUUUAAAAGAUUCUCAUGCUCAACUCCAAGUAAAACUCACUAAGGAAAUAGCCACUUGCUCUCCAUUUAUUUCAAUUGUAAUGUCCAUGCUACUACCCCCUAUUGUGAGCAUGCACAUCUUGUGGAGGAGAACUCCAAAUUGAAAGAGCAACUUGACAAAGGCCUUGUGACAUGCAUCCAAGGUGAAGAGAAUCUUAAUGACCUUCUGAGUAGUCAAAAGGAAGUGGUUGCAAAAGGAGUUGGGUUUGCACCCAAGUCCAAGAAGAAGAACAAGAAGAAGAAGACCAAGCAACAUCCUCAGCUUAUGGAAACCUUUGUUAAAUUAGGGGAGGGUACUCAUGGGAAGAAAAAGGACCAAGCUAAGGGUGGUAAUGAACUGAAUGGAAAUAGCCCUCUACCCAACAUAGCCGGCGACUUUAGUCCCUCAUAUGUGUUGUGUCGUGCCAGUGAUGGAAACGUUUUGGCUAAGUUUGUUGGUUCUUAUGGUGAGUACAUCGCAUGGUCUAUUUGGGUUCCUAAGACCCUCGUUACUAACAUAAGAGGACCCAUUAAAGAAUGGGUACCUAAACCCAAGCAUUGAUCUUAUGCAGGAGUUUGCCUCCGGUGGGGUGUCAUGGUUGCUUGAUAGUGGAGCAACAAAUCAUAUGACCGGAAGCAAGGACUUGGUGGUAGACGUUCAUCCCCACCCACCCAUUGCUACCCAAGUCUCCUUUGGUGAUGAUGCAAUUCCAAAGGUAUUGGGUCUCAGCAAGGUGAUAAUUUCUCGUGAACUUACAUUGAAAAAGUUAUGCUUGUUGAGACCCUCACAUACAAUUACUUUCCGUUCAUCAACUUGCACUUAUGGGCUUUAGUACUUCAUUUUGCAUUGACUCUGUGGCCCUUUUGUGGAGCAAGACUCUUAAAGUAGCCUUUGUUGGGCAUGUAGAGGGUGGUCUCUAUGUGGUUAACUUUUUGGAGCGACCCAUUGAGACCGCAACUUGCCUAAUAGCUAAAGUUGAUGUGGGGUGGCUUUGGCAUCGACGGCUAGCCCAUGUCAAUAUGAGAUCUUUGCAAAGUCUCCUCAAAGGGGAUCACGUUCUCGCACUAUCCAAUGUGAGUUUCGCCAGAGGAAGUGCUUGCAGUGCAUGUAUUGAAGGAAAGAUUCAUGAGACAGCUCACUGAUGACCCACAAGUAUAGGGGAUCUAUCGUAGUCCUUUCUAUAAGUAAGAGUGUCGAACCCAACGAGGAUCAGAAGGAAAUGACAAGCGGUUUUCAGUAAGGUAUUCUGUGCAAGCACUGAAAUUAUCGGUAACAGAUAGUUUUGUGAUAAGGUAAUUCGUAACGGGUAGCAACUAACAAAUGUAACAAAGGUACAACAAGGUGGCCCAAUCCUUUUUAUAGCAAAGGACAAGCCUGGACAAACCCUUAUAUAAAGCAAAAAGCGUUCCCGAGGACACAUGGGAAUUUCUGUCAAGCUAGUUUCCAUCAUGCUCAUAUGAUUUGUGUUCGUCACUUUGAUAAUUUGGUAUGUGGCUGGACCCGUGCUUGGGUGCUACCCUUACUUGGACAAACAUUCCACUUAUGUUAACCUCUCUCACAAGCAUUCGCAACUAUGAAAGAAGAAUUAAGAAAUCUAACCAUAGCAUGAAACAUAUGGAUCCAAAUCAGCCCCUUACGAAGCAACACAUAAACUAUGGUUUAAGCUUCUGUCACUAUAGCAACCCAUCAUCCAGUUAUUACUCCCCAAUGCCUCCCCCUAGGCCCAAAUAAUGGUGAAGUGUCAUGUAGUCGACAUUCACAUGACACCACUAGAGGAAAUACAACAUACAUCUCAUCAAAAUAUCGAACAAAUACCAAAUUCACAUGAUUACUUAUAGCAAGACUCAUUCCAUGUCCUUAGGAACAAACAUAAUUACUCACAAAGCAUAUUCAUGUUCCUAAUCAGAGGAGUAUUAAUAAUCAUUAAGGAUCUGAACAUAUGAUCUUCCACCAAGUAAACCAACUAGCAUCAACUACAAAGAGUAAUCAACACUACCAACAACCCCCAGGUACCAAUCUGAGGUUUGAGACAAAGAUCAGAUACAAGAGAUGAACUAGGGUUUGGAGAGGAGAUGGUGCUGAUGAAGAUUGACCCCCUCGUGGUGAGUGGAUCAUUGGUGAUGACGAUGGCUUCGAUUCCCCCCUCCGGGAGGGAAGUUUCCCCAGCAUAAUAGCUCCGCCGGAGCUCUAGAUUGGUUCUGCCGAAGUUCCGCCUCGAAACAACGGCGCUUCGCCCCGAAAGUUCUGAUAUGAUUUUUUCCAGGUCGAAACCCUUCAUAUAGGAGAAGAUGGGCACCGGAGGCCUGCCAGGGGGCCCACAAGCCUGUAGGGCGCGCCCUGGCUUGUGGCCACAUGGUGGGUCCCCUGAUGUAUUUCUUUCGCCUAAUAUUUUUUAUAGAUUCCAAAAUAAUUCUCCGUGAGUUUUCAGAACUUUUGGAGUUGUGCACAAUAGGUCUCUCAGAUUUGCUCCUUUUCCGGUCCAGAAUUCCAGCUGCCAGCAUUCUCCCUCUUCAUGUAAACCUUGUAAAAUAAGAGAGAAAAGACAUAAGUAUUGUACCAUAAUGUGUAUUAACAGCCCAUAAUGCAAUAAGUAUCGAUAUAAAAGCAUGAUGCAAAAUGAACGUAUCACUCACCGCCCCACGACUAUCAUCUAUACAAAAAGGACCAUGGAACUCCUUCACAUGGAUCUCUUUGGUCCUCCAUCUUAUGCUAGAGUAACAAUUCAUUCACAAGGCAUCAUGGUUAUAUUUAGAAGAGCGACACCUAUUGACAUAGAAUAUCUUAUGCUAGAGUAACAAUUCAUUCACAAGGUAGAAUAUGAGUCAAGAACUCUAUUGAUAACUAACAAACUAUGAUUUCAGUCACUGAAGCAAUUCCAAUUUAUCACAAUGUAGGAAAGAGUCAAUAUAAGUGCUUGUAAAGCAAAUCCACGCACUCAAUCAUCUUAUGGUCUUUAAUAAUUGCUAACACUCAUGCGGUACCUAUGAGAUCAAAGCUUCAAUCGAACACAGAGAAAGAUAUGGGCUUUUAGUUUUGCCUCCCAACUAUUUACCUCAAGGGUAAUGUCAACAAUAAUAACUCAUGAUCACCCACAUCCGAGUGAUAUAUUUGUCUAGAUCAUUCCCCAACACAUGACGCUUGCCAAAAGAUAAAGGUGAAAUAAAGGAAAUGGUGAAGAUCACCAUGACUCUUACAUAAAGGUAAGUACUAGAAAGUAAAGGUAACAGAUAAGCCCUUCGCAGAGGGAAGCAGAGGUUGUCAUGCACUUUUAUAGUUGGAUGCGCAAUCCCUUAUUGCAAAAGAACUUCACUUUAUAUUUCCCCUUGUGAUAAAGAACUUUAUUAUGCAGUCUGUCGCUUUUAUUUCUUCCAUAUCACAAGUUCGUAUAAAGUUUAUUUUCCUCACACUAAUAGAUCACACAUAUUUAGAGAGAAAUUUUUAUUGCUUGCACCGAUGACAACUUACUUGAAGGAUCUUACUCAAUCCAUAGGUAGGUAUGGUGGACUCUUAAGGCAAAACUGGGUUAAAGGUGUUUGGAUGCACAAUUAGUAUCUCUACUUGGUGCGGAAGUUUUUGGCUAAUAUGGGGUGGAAGCAAGCGACACAUGUUGAAGGAUCUAUAACCAUAUAACUUCUAUUUGGAAAUAAGCAAACAUAACUCAUUAUGUUGUCUUCCUUGUCCAAUAUCAACUUCUUAACAUAUAAUAUUUUAAUGAGUGCUCACAAUCAUAAAAGAUGUCCAAGAUAAUAUAUUUAUAUGUGAACCUCUCUAUCUUUAUUACUUCCUUUUAUUGCAGCAAUGACCAAUAGCUUUGUUUGUCAACUCACAACAAAUUUCGAUCCACAUACUUUUUAUAUGUGAAGUCAUCACUCCCCAUAUGAUCAUUAUAUAUACUCUUUUGCUUUUAUUCUAUACUUCUUUCUGUUUCUAUUUCUCAAGAUCAUAGCAAGCAAGCAAAGCCCUCAAUUCAAAAAUACUCUUUAUUAUAUAACUCUCAGACUUGCUUACAUAGGGGGAACAUAAAGCAAAACUCAAAACUAGAUCACACUAAAACUUUAUUCUACUAGAUCAAGGUAUUACCAAAAAGAUCGAAUGAAGAAAACGAAGAAAUGAAAAUAUGUGAUGGUGAUACGAUACCGGGGCAACUCCCCCAAGCUUAGCACAAGCCAAGGGAAGUGCCCUAUACCCAUGUGUUUAGUUUUCCUUCUUCGAAGGUGGUGAUGUUGGAGUUGUUAGUGAGGCUCUAAGCUUGUCCUCCGUCUUCCAAGGCAUGAUCUCACAAUUGUAAAAAGAUGAACAAGUCUUCGGGAUCCUCAAAUCUACAGCCAAACUCAUUCUCUUAAAUCUUUAUUAUAGUCACAGUUUUGGUUUUGCAGGUCAUAGAUCUGGGCUUGGAGAUGCUCGAUUUUCUCGUAAAGCUUGAAGACGCGAUCCCAUAUUUCCUUGGCGUCUAGCUUGUGCUUAUGAGUAAACUCCGUGAUCAUCAUGUGAUUGGCAUUGGGUCCUCGUUCCACCAUCCCGUGGCAUUUGAAGACUUGUUGCUCCAUUGCUUCAAGCCUUGUCUCCAUGCUUCCGGUCUUCUUUGGCCCCUCAACAUCACGGAUGUGCAACACCCCCUCGUGCAUCUCAAUGGUUUGAGGGUGUUACAGCACCUCCGCAAGGUAGGGGUUGAUGACCCUCUCGAAGAACUUGUCCUUCAAAGCGCUUGAAGACGUCAUGUUGAUCUAAAUCUGCUGCAGAAACAACUCAAUAUGAAAGUAGGAAAUAUUGUCCUGAUACGAAGGUCAAAACUUUCAGGAGAUUAUAUAAUGAUUUUUUACCGAUCCGAAGGAGUAUUUGUUGGUUCACUAAAGACCGGGGUCUCUAGUGCCCCAGACUUGUGGGCGGACACCGGCAGCCCCUCCACAGCGGCAAGGCACGUUGCUAGGGCUUAGGGCGGAAGCAAGACUCAGAAACCUCCAAGUGCAGAUUGCAAGCCCCGACAAGCACUCCCUAUUGGGAAGGAUGAAGAGACACCGACAGGAGUUCCCUGCCGGGGAGAUAGACAAUGCCACGACGAGACCCUCCCGCCGAGAAAGAAGGACUGAGCCCCGGCAAGCCACCCUUGUCGGGAAGGCUGACAAGGCCUCGGCAGGCCAUCACCUCCCUGCUAAGAGGAACAAGAAGAGCCCCGGCAAGGUAACCCUACGAGGAAGAAAGAGAAGGCCCGAGGAGAGGCGCGGGCCGAGGACGCCCUCGCGACCUGCGGAUGCCUCCACCGAUGAGCACGCCACCGACGAUGCAUGAGCCACGCGUCCGCCCGCACACCAACGCAACGCCCCAGAGUUUCCAUGUGUUUACGUGUUCAACCCCCCCUGACGAGGUCAGGGAAGUCUGACGAAGUAUUUAUUUCACCUCUGACAGGGCAGUAACACUGUAACUGUCGGUCGGCGCUGUUUCACCCAUGAACCCACCGUUCACCCACUGAGCCACUUUGGUGACCCCUUUGCCUAUAAAAGGAGGCCCGAGGCUCAGUAGUAGGGGCUUUUGGCUUUUUGACAAAUCGAAAGGCUGUAAAAAGGGACAGAUCUACAGUAACCCAAAACGAAUAACUGAACGCAUGCAGGAGUAGGGUUUUACGCACCACGCGGCCCGAACCUGGGUAAAAAGAUCUUGUCGGGCCCUAACUGUUGGUUCUUCUCUUGCCGCGACCCCCCUCCCCGCCAAACCAGCAAAAAGGGGACUGUUGAGGCCCCCAUAGGUGUCGAUCCUUCACCGACAGUAUUCCACAAGAAAACGGAGUCUGGAGGGUACACGGGGUGGCCACAAGCUUGCAGGGCGCGCCCCGUGUCUUGUCGCCUCCUCGUGCACUUUUCGGGCUGCUUUGAAUUUUCCUAAUUUUUUGAAAUAUUCCGAAACUGAUAAAAAUUGCCAUUGGAAAAGUUUUGGAGUCGGUUUGCUUACCGUAACACAUACCUAUUACUUUUCGAAGUCUGAAACGUUCUUAUAGGCCUCCCUAAUGUACUCUUCCGGAGUUAUGGUAUUGACAAUAUCGGUUUCAACAAUUAUGGGAGUACCUGAGAUAUAAUGUUUGAUUCUUUGCCCAUUUACCACCUUCAGAUUUGUGCCUUUGGCGUUGUUGAUCUUGAUGGCACCGGAACGAUAUACUUCCUCACCAACAAGUUUGAAAUCAUUGGGAAGGGCCUUCCCUAGUCCCAAAUAAUGGUAAAGUGUCAUGUAGUAUACAUUCACAUGACACCACUAGAGGAGAGACAACAUACAUCUCAUCAAAAUAUCAAACAAAUACCAAACAAGUUUGAAAUUUCUCUCUAAAUGGGAAGGGCCUUCCCUANGCUUCGCCCCGAAAGUUCCGAUAUGAUUUUUUCCAGAUCAAAACCCUUCAUAUAGCAGAAGAUGGGCACCAUAGGCAUGCCAGGGGCCCACAAGCCCGCAGGGCAUGCCCCCCCCCCCCCCGNNNNNNNNNNNNNNNNNNNNNNNNNNNNNNNNNNNNNNNNNNNNNNNNNNNNNNNNNNNNNNNNNNNNNNNNNNNNNNNNNNNNNNNNNNNNNNNNNNNNNNNNNNNNNNNNNNNNNNNNNNNNNNNNNNNNNNNNNNNNNNNNNNNNNNNNNNNNNNNNNNNNNNNNNNNNNNNNNNNNNNNNNNNNNNNNNNNNNNNNNNNNNNNNNNNNNNNNNNNNNNNNNNNNNNNNNNNNNNNNNNNNNNNNNNNNNNNNNNNNNNNNNNNNNNNNNNNNNNNNNNNNNNNNNNNNNNNNNNNNNNNNNNNNNNNNNNNNNNNNNNNNNNNNNNNNNNNNNNNNNNNNNNNNNNNNNNNNNNNNNNNNNNNNNNNNNNNNNNNNNNNNNNNNNNNNNNGCAUUCUCCCUCUUCAUGUAAACCUUGUAAAAUAAGAGAGAAAAGGCAUAAGUAUUGUACCAUAAUGUGUAUUAACAACCCAUAAUGCAAUAAAUAUAGAUAUAAAAUCAUGAUGGAAAAUGGACUUAUCACUCACCGCCCCACGACUAUCAUCUAUACAAAAAGGACCAUGGAACUCCUUCACAUGGAUCUCUUUGGUCAUCCAUGUUAUGAUAGUCUUGGGGGAAGAAAGUACUGCUUGGUGAUAGUGGAUGAUUACUCAAGAUAUACAUGGGUAUACUUUUUCAAGAGAAAGAGUGAGACUCAAAAAGCUGUCAUCGACUUUGCUAACGAAGCACAACGCCAACAUAAUACAAAGAUAUUGAUGAUCAGAAGUGACAAUGGCAUCGAGUUUAAGAACUACACCCUAAAUGAAUUUCUGAUUGAUGAAGGAAUCAAGCAUCAAUACUCUUCUCCUUACACUCCUCAACAAAAUGGUGUGGCGAAAAGGAAGAACCGGACGUUGAUGGAUGUGGCAAGAACCAUGAUGGCAGAGUUUAAAUCUCCGUAUAAUUUUUGGGCCGAAGCCAUCAAUACCGCAUGUCAUGCAUCCAAUCGGCUCUUCCUUCGCAAAGGUUUGAACAAGACUCCAUAUGAAAUUCUUACCGGCAACAAGCCCAACCUCAAGUACUUCCGGGUGUUUCGUUUUUCUAAAUUUGAACCUAGAGCCCAAGAGGGCAUAUUUGUUGGUUAUGCUUCAAACUCUCGCGCUUACGGUGUCCUCAACAAGUCCUCAGGACUCGUUGAGGAUACGUGUAACGUGGAGUUUGACGAGAAUAAUGGCUCCCAAGUGGAGCAAAGUGGUCUUUGUGAUGUAGGUGAUGAAAUUCCUCCCCAAGCCAUAAGAAGAAUAGGCGUGGGAUACUUCCUGCCCAUUGAGGAACCCCUUAUGACUGAAGGAGAAGGACAAUGUUCCACUCAUGUGGAACUAGCACCGACGCAAGACCCACAUGCUUCCGAAGAACGCUCUGAAGGCCCUCACCCCCGUAAUCCCGAUCAAUGAGAAGAUCAACCUCAAGAUGGUCCUGCACCAACUGAUGUCCUUGAUCCUGCUCACCCCUCUAAGAAUGCUCAAGGUCAAGAGCAAGCUCAAGAUCAAGACCAAGUUCAAGAUCCAGAGCAAGCACAUGAACAAAAUCAAGCUCAAGAUCAAGGGAAAACUCAAAAAGGCGGCAAAGGUCGCAUACAUGCUUCUUAGCUUACCCCUAAGGAGAUUCAAUAAACACGCGUUGCCAAGAAUGCCAAAACGCUCAAAAAUCUUUCUCAUGUUCUGGAGAAUGUCUACGACAACUUACAUAGAGGGGUAACCACACGUCGUCAAUUAUCAAACUUUAGUGCCCAUCAUGCGUUUGUUUCUUGCAUUGAACCACUAAAGGUACAAGGGGCUCUCGAAGGCAUGGACUAGGUUGAAGCCAUGCAUGAAGAACUCAAUAACUUCGAGCGCAACAAAGUGUGGCGACUGAUGCAUCGUACACGUUGCAUCAGUCGUAGAAAAAUGCCAAAUUUUGCACCUUUGCUACACGUUGCAUCAGUGUAGACGUUGAACACGUUGCAUCAGUGUAGAAAAAUAGACUUGAUUUGUCAUUCAUUUUUUUCUACAAUGAACAUAACCCCUCCAAUGCAACGUGUUCAAAUUUGGCAUUUUUCUGGCUCAUUUACCAUAUUUGGACGAUUAUGUGCCUUUCUAGGCAUUAAUGAAUAGAAUUCAGAUUCAAACAACCAGUGCAUGGAAAAGUGCUGAAAAGUUGGUGUGGGAAAUCAUGAUCAUGGUAUUUAGUAUAUUCUCAUGCCUUUUACAAGGAAUGGGUAGUGAUUUCAAGUAUACGUGUGGCAAGAGUCAACUACAAACGUGUCGUUAAUUCAUUUUUCAACUAUAGAAAAAUGAAAUACAUGCUUGAAAAACAUGAUGUCUAUCAUGGUGCCAUGGUAUGGCUUCACUAUGCCAUGGUAAAACCUUGAGAAGGUUUGGCUUAUGUCAUCAUGCAUGCCCUUCAUAAAUCGAACCAUCACCGAGGAAGUUUCAUGGUUUCAAGAGGGAAAUCACCAAGAUUGAAGGAGAAUCCAAAUUUCCUUCGUCCUUUGUACUUAAGUUUUUUCUACUUCAACAUACACCCUGCAAAUCUCCAUGUUCUAAUUUGGCACCUUUUCCAGGCUCAUUUGCCAUAUUUAGGUGAUUAUGUGCAUUUUCUAGGCAUUAAUGCACAUCAUUGAAAUUCAAACAAUCGAUGCAUGAAAAAGGUGUACAAGAACGGUCUAGAAAACCAUGCUCGUGCUAUUUAGUAAAUUCUCAAGCCUUUUAUAAGGAAUGGGCAAUGAUUUCAAGGAUACAUGUGAGAAGAGUCAACCACAGAUGUGUCGUUUAUUUGUUUUUUCAACUAUAGAAAAAUGAAAUACAUGCUUGAAAAGCAUGACACGUGGCAUGGUUGCAUGGUGUGGCCUCAUUAUGCCAUUGUAAAAAUUUGACAAGGUUUGGCUUAUGUCGUCAUGCACGCCCUUCAUAAAUCGAACCAUCACCGAGGAAGUUUCAUGGUUUCGAGAGGGAAUUCACCAAAAUUGAAGGGGAAUCCAAAUUUCCUUCGUCCUUUGUCCUUGAGUUUUUUCUAUAAUGAACAUACACCCUGCAAAUCUCGGUGUUCAAAUUUGGCUUUUUUCGGGCUCAUUUGCCAUAUUUAGGGGAUUAUGUGCAUUUUCUAGGCAUUAAUGCACAUAAUUCAAAUUCAAACAAUUGGUGAAUGAAAAUGUGCACAAGAAUGGCUGGAAAACCAUGCUCGUGCUAUUUAGUAAAUUCUCAUGUCUUUUACAACGAAUGGGCACUGAUUUCAAGGAUACGUGUGGCAAGAGUCAACCACAAACGUGUCGUUUAUUGGUUUUUCAACUAUAGAAAAAUAAAAUACAUGCUUUAAAACAUGACACUUGUCAUGGUGGCAUGGUAUGGCCUCACUAUGCCAUGGUAAAAUUUUGAGAAGGUUUGGCUUAUGUCGUCAUGCACGCCCUUCAUAAUCGAACCAUCACCGAGGAGGUUUCAUCAUUUCGACCCGGAAAUCACCAAGAUUCAAGGGGAAUCCAAAUUUCCUUCGUCCUUUGGCUUUGAGUUUUCUCUACAAUGAACAUACACCCUGCGAAUCUCCCUCUUCAAAUUUGGCACUUUUUCGAGGCUCGUUUGCCAUAUUUAGGGGAUUAUGUGCAUUUUCUAGGCAUUAAUGCACAUAAUUGAAAUUGAAACAAUCGGUGCAUGAAAAGGUGCACAAAAACGGUCUAGAAAACCAUGUUCAUGCUAUUUAGUAAAUUCUCAUGUCUUUCACAAGGAAUGGGAAGUGAUUUCAAGGAUACGCGGGGCAAGAGUCAACCACAAACGUGUCGUUUAUUGGUUUUUCAACUAAAGAAAAAUGAAAUACAUUCUUAAAAACAUGAUGCUUGUCAUGGUGCCAUGGUAUGGCCUCACUAUGCCAUGGUAAAAAUUUGAGAAGGAUUGGUUUAUGUCGUCAUGCAUGCCCUUCAUAAUUAAACUGUCACCAAGGAAGUAUCAUGGUUUCGAGAGGCAAAUCACUAAGAUUGAAGGGGAAUCCAAAUUUCCUUCGUCCUUGAGUUUUUUUUUCUACGAUGACCAUAUACCCUGAAAAUCUCUGUGUUGAAAUUUUGCACUUUUUCUAGGCUCAUUUGCUAUAUUUAGGGGAUGAUGUGCAUUUUGUAGGCAUUAAUGCACACAAUUCAAAUUCAAACAAUUGGUGCAUGAAAAGGUGCACAAGAACGGUUUGGAAAAUUAUGCUCGUGCUAUUUCGUAAAUUCCCAUGUCUUUUACAAGGAACGGGAAGUGAUUUCAAGGAUAUGUGUGGCAAGAGUCAACCACACACGUGUCAUUCAUUGGUUUUCCAACUAUAGAAAAUGAAAUACAUGCUUAAAAACAUGAUGCUUGUCAUGGUGCCAUGGUAUGGCCUCACUAUGCCAUGGUAAAAUUUUGAGAAAUUUGGCUUAUGUUGUCAUGCACGCCCUUCAUAAUCGAACCAUCACCGAGGGAGUUCCAUGGUUUCGAGAGAGAAAUCACCAAGAUUGAACGGGAAUCCAAAUUUCCUUCGUCCUUAAGUUUUUUUCUACGGUGAACAUACACCUACAAAUCUCCGUGUUCUAAUUUGGCACCUUUUCUGGGAUCAUUUGCAAUAUUUAGGUGAUUAUGUGCUUUUUCUAGGCAUUAAUCAUAAUUCAAAUUCAAACAAUCGAUGCAUGAAAAGGUGUACAAGAACAGUCUGGAAAACCAUGCUUGUGCUAUUUAGUAAAUUCUCAAGCCUUUUACACAGAAUGUGCAGUGAUUUCAAGGAUACUUGUGACAAGUGUGAAUGAUAAACGUGCCGUUUAUUUGGUUUUUGAACUAUAGAAAAAUGAAAUACAUGCUUGAAAAGCAUGAUGCCUCGCAUGGUGCCAUGGUAUGGCCACACUAUGCCAUGGUAAAAAUUUGAGAAGGUUUUCUUAUAUCGUCAUGCACGCCCUUCAUAAAUCGAACCAUCACCGAGGAUCUUUCAUGGUUUCGAGAGGGAAAUCGCAAAGAUUGAAGGGGAAUAUAAAUUUCCCCCGUCCUUUGUCCUUGAAUGUUUUUUCUACGAUGAACAUAUAUACACCCUAGAAAUCUACAUGUUCAAAUUUGGCACUUUUUCGAGACUCGUUUGCCAUAUUUAGGGGAUUGUGUGCAUUUUCUAGGCAUUAAUGCGCACAUAAAUCCAAUCCAGCUACAACUGUGCGGGUGUGAUGCGAGGGACGUGGAUUGUAGUUUGAUCGCGGUGCAUCCUAUGGUGCACACGUGCGAUCCACGUGGCUGGGGUCCUGGCCAAUCAUAACGCAACACACAAUAGGCUCAGCACACUAUUUCCGAAAGCGACAUAGAUGAACCAUGUGUGAUAAUGAAUGACCAAGAUUGUAAGGGAAGCCAAAUUUCCGGCGUUGUUUGUCCUUGAGUUCCGCAGUGUACUGCUGUCUGGCUACUCCACCCCAGAGGUCUCUCAAGAGUAAUUUGCGUUGUGUGUUUCCCCCGCCCAUGUUUCAAGUUUCGCAGCGAAAUUUUCAUUAGGCGCGCGAUGUCAGAAUUUAUUCCUCCCACCACUUCCCUACCCAUCAUAUUUCUGUAGUAUCUCCCCCCUCCCGACAGCUCAAACCGCCGCCGCCACCGCCACGACUUCAACCACAUCUACGUUAUUCCCGAGCAUCGUCGAUCUCUAUUACAGCCACUACCUGUUGCUUAAAUGGCCUCUGCGAAACAUCCUCAUGCCUCCAAAUCCCCACCGCCCUACCUCCAGAGCAUCACCAUGCAAGACCAACCACAUAUCACGUGGAGGUCGAGGAGCUAAUGGCGAUUGAUGGCGCGAUGGCCAUUGUGUGUGUCUACCUACAGGAACACAUCGCCUACGCUGCCUUUGACUUGGUGCUGGCUCCGACCCAGAUGAAGUGCCCCAUCGAGUACCCCCCAGGACUUACCAAGUAUGAUCUGACCAGCUGAAUCUUACCAAUAGAAGUUGCAAUGGCUAUGUUUUGUAUGGUUGAUGUAUUAAGCAUGUUUGUGCCUUGUUUAUUUCAGUAUUGCACAUUGUGUGAUGUUCAAGUAUUAACUGUCUAGCUCAAUUUCGCCGAUACUAGCAACAAACUUACAAUACACGACCCAGGAUGCUGUUAAGCCUGUUGUGAAUAACACCUGUAUCCAUUUUUUAAUCUUUCCCUUUGCUACCGUGUCACUCUCUACAAUGAAGAUAUCACUAGAGAUGAUGUGAUCUUAUUUCCAUUUGCUAUCUCGGAUGAAUGAUAACCCUAUUGUACUUAACAUGACUUUCCAUGUACUUACGCAGGGCCAUCACGGGCGGUGAUACUGUUUGCCGUCAAGGUUAGUUGCACCACACGUCUUACAAUAUUUCACAUCAUUUAUGCAAUUGCAGUUUCACAUCUAACAUUUACUAGUUGCCUACAAGUAUACAUGUCAACUGCACCGAUCCAUGCUUCGACGUGGAGGAAGAGCUCGCCUUCGCCGCCGCUAACUUGGGGCGGGCUCUAGCCAAGUUGAAGUGCCCUAGCAACUACCCCCCAGAACUGACCAAGUAUGAACUGACCAGUUCAAUCUUACCAAUACUAGUUGCAAUGGCUGUGUUUUGUAUGCAUUAGCAUGUUGUAGUAAAUAGGCCUAAUACAUCUUAGCUAUUUUACCUACCUUUUUAAAGACGAAAGGGACAUUCUCUACUAUGACAACACUUUCCUUGUGAUGUUUAACUCUGUCAAUUGCAUUUUUAUCACUAUGAGUUUCAUUGGCUAUACUAGCUUGCCUCUAGUUAAACGUGCCUUGUUAUUUUCAGUACUGCACACUGUGUGAUGUUCAAGUAUGAACUCUCUAUGUAAAUUUCACAAAUAGCAGCUACAAACAUACAAAACAUGACUUAGGAUGCUGUUAAGCAUGUUGCAAUCAACAGUUAUAUCCAUUUUAUAAUCUGUCUAUUUGCUACCGUCCUACUCUUCGCAAUGAAGAUAUACCAGAGAUGAUGUCAUUUUAUUUCCAUUUGCUAUUUUUGGUGGAUGCUAGCCCUAUUGUAGUUAACAUGCCUUUCCAUGUACUUACACAGGGCCAUAAUGGGCGAUGUUGUUGUUUGCCAUCGAGGUUAGCUGCAUCCCAUGUCUACAAUUUUUUACAACAUUUGUGCAAUUGCAGUUAAACUUCUAACAUUUACAUGCUUCUUGUAGGUACACAUGCCAGCUGCACUGAGCCACGCUUCGACCCGGAGGAACACCUUGCCUCCGCUGUGGAUGACUUGGGCCGGGCUCUUACCCAUAUAAAGUUCCCCAGCAACUACCCCUCAAGACUUACAAAGUAUGAACUGACCAGUUGAAUCUUACCAAUACCAGUUGCAAUGGCCAUGUUUUGCAUGGUUGAUGUAUUAAGCAUGUUAUAGUAAACAUCGCCUAACUCAUCUUAUCAACUUCCCCUACCUUUUUAUAGAUAAUAGGGCGAUUCUCUGCUCUAGUAGGACCUUCUUUGUGUU
rnacentral:lncRNA from 1 species